GUCCUCUUCAGAGCAGUGCCCUAUUGUUCCAUAAUUGUCCCUUAUCUUUGAAAUUUGAUGCCUACUUGCACUACCCAAGUACGGUCAUUUAAAGGAAGAGCGUGAGAAUGCACACAGUGCAGCUGAACUCCUGGAGAAGUGAGGAUUUGUCAAAGCUAUUGUAAGGUAAGAGCUUCUAUUUAUAAUCUCAUUUAAAAUAACUCCCGAUGAAAAAAGAAGACGACAAACUUUCCAUCACUCCACAUCAUUCCUUAUGCUCUACACUGAAUUCCGUCCCUGUGGAAUCCUCCUCUGCGUUUUUCACUCUUCCAAAGGACAGGAGCUUGCAGUCUGACCAUUAGUACAUUUCCCAGAAAUAAUUUACUUUGCUCUUGCGUGCGCUAUUUAGCGAUCUAUCUGCCAUGUUGCAAUGAAGUUUACAAGCUGUUCUUUAAGCCUACAGGGCACAUUUUGACCUUUAUUUUGCGGGGUGGGAGAGAGGGCUGGGCCAAGGAGCCCUAGAUUUAUGACCCUACAACUCUGCAAAACAUAUCCAUUAGCGUCUAUGCAGCUGUUUAUCUGUGAAGAUCUGCAGGCUGUAUACUGUUUACACAGGAGGGGAACAAAAUCUUAUUUACCAUCUCAGAAGGUGCUGUGUGUAAAUAACAAAACCAUGACACUGAAUCCCAAAGAUGAGUGAGAUAAAUAAAUAUCCCAGGGUGCCGAAGAAGGUGCCAUUCCCAUUUGCAGCUGUCCUAGUUGAAAACCUGGAAGUCCACAUAAACAGCGUAAUAGGGCACAUGUUUACAAAGCUGGGAACUGGGAGACAUAGCAGAUUGACUAGCUGGCUUAUUUUUAGAUCAUUGCUUGUCCCGUCAUAGGAAUGGCUCUCUGUUCCUGCUAGCCCCCUUGGACAGAAUAAACUCAUUUCUAUUUUCCUCUUGCAGAAAUCCAGUCAUUUCAGGACAUCCUGUUUUCCCCUUGCAGAAAUUCGCACAGAACUGUCCUUGCCAAGCCCAAUAUUCUUGUAAGUGGGGCAAAACUAGGAUUAUGCAGAGUCCCGACAUAGUAUAUUCUCUUUGCAAGAAAUUCUCAACAGCUGACAUGCAAAAAUUUUCAUCAGACUUCAUUCAGGCAUCUUAUGCCACCAUUUCAUACAUAUUAUCAGCUUCUUAUUUAUACUUCUGUUUCUACUAAUUGUCAUAAUUUAGAUUGUGGAUAGGGAUCUGUUUUCUCUGUUUGUGGAAUAAGAGGUACAGACACAACCCUAUCAGUCUAGUCUGUCCCUCAAACUGUCUUUGCCAUAGUGUUCAUGGUAAGUCAUUUAACUCUUUUGUAGCUUUGUUUAUCGCCCCUUCCUCACAAUGAUUACUUUUUCUACAGAUCCAUGCAUGUAAAUGGCACGUAGAGCAGGGGUGGGGUACCUGGGGCCCUCCAGCUGUCAUUAGACUACAACUCCCUUCAUCUCUGACCAUUGGCCAUGGUAGCUGGGGCUGAUGGGAGUUGGAGUCCCAUAACACCUGAAGGUUCGAAGGUUCUCCAUUCCUGCUCUACAACAGUGCAUCUACAAGAGUACUUCUCAGCAGAAGAGGCUUCACAACUCUUUGCUGAAUCCUGUGUGAAGAAUUCAUUUGUCUUACAUGCAUCCUGCCCUUCAUGCUUACAGCAGGCAGGAAGAAAAACUAGUGAUUUGAUCAAGGCUGCUAGUGAGCUUCACAGGAGAGCAGAAUAUCACUCUUCAGCCUGGAGGAGCACUAGAGGUUUGGGGAUUUGAACUAGGAUUUCCCAUAUUCAAGCACGACAUUCUUCAGUUAAGAAGAAAUGUAUAGCUCAUCUCCCUAUGUUGGGUAUACACACACACACACACACACACACACGGGCAAUGGGAGUGAUUUUGAGCAAGCAAAUGGCUGGGAAGGAAAGGGUUAAGAAACUGUUUCAUAAGGUUUUGCUAUCAAUCCGGGCUGCAUACUCACCAAACAUUUAAAAGAACACUUGCUCCCACCCCCAAGACUCCUGGGAGCUGUAGUUUGUUAAGGCUGCUAGGGAUUGUCAUUCUGUGAGGAAUAAACUAUAGUUCCCAGGAUUCUUUGGAGGUAGGGGGAAUGUGCAUACCAUUUUGAAUAUGUAACUACCGUAUUUUUUGCUCUAUAAGACUCACUUUUUCCCUCCUAAAAAGUAAGGGGAAAUGUGUGUGCGUCUUAUGGAGCAAAUGCAGGCUGCACAGCUAUCCCAGAAGCCAGAACAGCAAGAGGGAUUGCUGCUUUCACUGUGCAGCAAUCCCUCUUGCUGUUCUGCCUUCUGAGAUUCAGAAUAUUUUUUUUCUUGUUUUCCUCCUCCAAAAACUAGGUGCGUCUUGUGGUCUGGUGCGUCUUACAGAGCGAAAAAUACGGUAUGUGGUAGGCAAUAAAGAUACAUGCAAUGUGUAUUUCAAAACUAGGGAUGGGGGAGAGAUUUGAUUCAGUUUGCAUCUAAAUGCAAAAUGAUAGAAUUCACACUUUCAGAAAUAAUGUGUAAACCAAAAUGCAUUCAUCCUUCAAAAUUCACACUUUUCUGAAUUUUGCAAUAUAUAGUUUUCCAGCCUUGCAAUGUGUACAAAAAUGCAUAUAUUGGGGUGAAGUGUACAUAUAAAUGCCUAUCAAUAAAAAUGACAUACAAAGGUGCAUUAUGAUGCACUCUCUUUGUCCGUCUAGGUACAUGACAAAAAUUAUACCAAAAUGUACAUGUGAGGAGAAAUUUGCACUACAAUUCUGAUGGAGUUUCAUGAGGACUUUAAAAAAAAUCACAAACUAAUUUGGAAACAUGGAGAACUGAACUUAAAGACUGGAAAAAUGAGAAACUGAAAUAGACAGAUUUUCCCAUCCCUAUUCAAACUUUACAUCAUUUGUGACUUGAAUAUUUAAGCUGGUAUUGGAUUAGGCAUCACAGUUUCUCUGGUCUCAGUUUUUGGUGUGACUUUCACAUCAUUAGGCCUACACAAGAUCCAUGAAUUUCAACAUGGAGGAUUUUUUGCAUUCCACUUAAAGAGGUCACUGAACUGUGAGCCAAUGCCACAUUUUGACAAAAAACAAACAAACCUCAAAUCACAUAUUCUGAAGCCAUCUGACUCUGGAAUAAUUGCUCUGGGAAAACCUCAGAUAACAUAUUCUGGAGCAAUCUGACUCUGGAAUAAUUGCUUUUAUAGCUGCAGCCUUAGUAUAUUGCAAAUAUACUCACUUGCCAGUGAGUAUCUGUGGUUAAAAAAAAAUAAAAUCUGCAGAUUGCGGCACUAGCUCUUUUCACCCUUGCUAACAAAUCAUAAAACAAUCCAUUUCCUUCCUUUGUUUUGCCUCUUUGCAGUAGGUCAGGAAGGUUGGGGAAGAUUGCACAGAGUGACAGCAUCUCUCAUGUUCUGUCACAUUCCUGAAAUAAGAAUAUAUCAUGCACUUAUGAAUUGGGGACAGUGUCUCAUUACCAAAGGAAGCAAACAAUUCCCGAGGUUUGAAUAAUAAGAGAGGAUGAAGCUGCCACGGCUGCCAAGCGAGAGAAAAUAACCUGCUAAUAUUAUGCCCAAGUGGCCUGACUUGCAAAAAAUGUAAACACCCGCCGAAGCUGGUGGAAUCUGCAGGUGCUCCGUAUCUCUGGAAUUCAGGCCAAUCUUGACUGACAUUUUAAAAGUUCUUCUUAUUUAUAUUCACUUCCCCUCCCCCCCUUGCCACAAAAAUACACAGCUUGCAUUCCCCUUCUCCACCCCUUCCCCUCUGUAUGUGCAAUAUAUUUGACAGAAUGUAAAGUUGACAAAAUGCCCAUGAACUUUUGGCUUGCAAUUAAAUUCUUGGUUAACUCACAGUGUAUAAUAUAUCCAAAUGGGUUAUAGAAAUAGACCUUGUGAGCAGUGUUGCGUAUGUGUUUGUGGAGGGAGGGAUUCUUUUCACAUAUCUAUGCUAUGUAUAGCUAGGACACUGAGGAGAAUGACAUGCAUGAACGUCAACCUGAUGUUGUUGGACUACAACUCCUAUGAGCUUCACCAGCUUCACCAAUAGUUAGGGAUGAUGGAAAAUGGAGGGGUGGCUAACACCCCAGAGGACAGGAUCACACUUCAAAACGACCUUGACAGAUUAGAGAACUGGGCCAAAACAAACAAGAUGAAUUUUAACAGGGAGAAAUGUAAAGUAUUGCACUUGGGCAAAAAAAUGAGAGGCACAAAUACAAGAUGGGGGACACCUGGCUUGAGAGCAGUACAUGUGAAUAGGAUCUAGGAGUCUUGGUUGACCACAAACUUGACAUGAGCCAACAGUGUGACGCGGCAGCUAAAAAAGCCAAUGCAAUUCUGGGCUGCAUCAAUAGGAGUAUAGCAUCUAGAUCAAGGGAAGUAAUAGUGCCACUGUAUUCUGCUCUGGUCAGACCUCACCUGGAGUACUGUGUCCAGUUCUGGGCACCACAGUUCAAGAAGGACACUGACAAACUGGAACGUGUCCAGAGGAGGGCAACCAAAAUGGUCAAAGGCCUGGAAACGAUGCCUUAUGAGGAACUGCUAAGGGAGCUGGGCAUGUUUAGCCUGGAGAAGAGGAGGUUAAGGGGUGAUAUGAUAGCCAUGUUCAAAUAUAUAAAAGGUCACAUAGAGGAGGGAGAAAGGUUGUUUUCUGCUGCUCCAGAGAAGCGGACACGGAGCAAUGGAUCCAAACUACAAGAAAGAAGAUUCCACCUAAACAUUAGGAAGAACUUCCUGACAGUAAGAGCUGUUCGACAGUGGAAUUUGCUGCCAAGGAGUGUGGUGGAGUCUCCUUCUUUGGAGGUCUUUAAGCAGAGGCUUGACAAUCAUAUGUCAGGAGUGCUCUGAUGGUGUUUCCUGCUUGGCAGGGGGUUGGACUCGAUGGCCCUUGUGGUCUCUUCCAACUCUAUGAUUCUAUGAUUCUAUGAGUCCAGCAACAUUUGGCAGGUACCUUGUUGGCUUUCACUGUUUGAGAUAGUAGGCAGUCCCCCUCAAAUAGUACUGUUAGGCUACUUGAACAGUAUUGAUUCCUUUGGAAUCCUACCUAAGGUGGGGUGUACUGAUACAUUGGAGCAAUUCAAACUAACUGAAGAGGGUUGAGGGUUCAGAGUCCCUCAUGACUUAAAAGUAUGUGUGUGUGUCUCUCUCUGUGUUGCAUCAUUGUGAAGGCUAGUCUUGCUUCUGUCCCUCCUAAGCCAAGAGGUUUGGAAAGGAUAGGUGAGUAACAGGACUUUAGCUUGUUGGUUUGUUUGUAUAAGUUAUAUACUGCUUGCGAUAACAUUACACUAAUAAAAUAACAACCAAACAUUACACUAAUAAAAUAACAACCAAAAAUGAGUAUAGCAAAGUGCAAUAAAUAUCCAUUGCAAUGUUAAGCAAAAUAUUAACACAGAAAUAUCAAGCAGUGUGAUCAAAAAAAUCAAGAGCCACUUGCAUCUCUAUGGUAGGAGUAUAUAAAAUAUGAAACCUGUCCACAAAUUCUAGGUUUUAAUUGAAUGCAAGGAGUAGUGUUUAUGGGCAUGCAGGACUCUUGCUUUUUUAAAUUUUCAAAUGGCAGGCACCUUUUGGAUUACUAACCCAUCUUUGGUACAGUGCCAGGUAUUUCAUAAGCACGAUCCCUAAUAAUUCAUGUAAUUUUCUUUUAUAAGAUGGUUACAUUGGCUCUUCGUAUCUAGCCCAUCAGCUGAAUGACUGAUCAAAAGGAUGUUAACCUUUCUGGAAAAGUGCCAUGCACACAGUCCCAGCUUGAGUUUGUAAAAAGAAGCCACAUGGGGAUGUGCAUGUAAUGCCUCUAGCUAAGAAGGGGUGAUAACAUUUAAGUCCUCAUAAGACUAUAAUAAACCAUAAAUGCAAACUACAAUUGGUUCAACUUUCACUAAGCCAGUUGUUGGAAUGCUUUGCUCAGAAAUAGAUUGUGGAUUUGGGCAAAUAUUUUUAUAUUUAAAAUAUGAUAUUAUGGACUCUCUUAAAAAAUUGGUGUGAACCACACAUAGCUUGUCCAAGCUAUGAUGGUGAUGGAUAACAGAAUCCAUGGUGGAGCUAUUGCCACUUCCUAUGCCCUGCCGGCUUAUUGUGGCCAGAAUGGGAGGUGUGGGUGGCUUUUAUAUGGGCAUAAUGUGAACUCCUAUCAGGAUAUAGAUGCCUACUUCAUGGCAGAACUCUUCUCUGCAAGAGCAGCACUUACAGCCAUAACUAAGGCCUUUUGGCCUAAAGGAAUAGGUUAGUAGUCUGCAAGUACUCCUUUGUUCCAACUUGUCCUUAGUGGUUAGGAGUGCCCAUGCUGAUUUGCCACUUAUGGUCAUUCCUGGAUCGGGAUAGCCUGGCCUCAUUUGUUCAUGCUCUGGUAUCCUUUCAUUUGGAUGGCUGUAUGUGGGGCUUCCCAUGAAGAUGGUCCAAAGCUUACUUCUAGUGCAGAAUGCAUCUCCUAGGCUAGGGCAGUCUGAUGUUGCACUAGCUGUCAAUGAUUAGUCCCAAUUCAAGGUGUUCAUAAAGGUAAAGGGACCCCUGACCAUUAGGUCCAGUCAUGGCCGACUCUGGGGUUGCGGCGCUCAUCUUGCUUUAUUGGCCAAGGGAGCUGGUGUACAGCUUCCGGGUCAUGUGGCCAGCAUGACUAAGCCGCUUCUGGCAAACCAGAGCAGUGCACGGAAACACCGUUUACCUUCCUGUAGGAGCAGUACCUAUUUAUCUACUUGCACUUUGACGUGCUUUCAAACUGCUAGGUGGGCAGGAGCAGGGACCGAGCAACAGGAGCUCACCCUGUCAUGGGGAUUCGAACCGCGACCUUCUGAUUGGCAAGUCCUAGGCUCUGUGGUUUAACCCACAGCAUCACCUGCGUCCCCAAGGUGUUCAUACCAUAUUAUAAAGCCCUAAAUGGCUUGGUACGCAAUUACUUAAAAGAGCUCCUUCCCCAAUAUCAACCACCUCACACCCUACAAUUGGCAGGCGAGGCCUGGUUGGUGUUGACCCAUAACAGGAACUUUCCACUGGUGGCCCCUUGCUUGUGGAUUGCCCUUCCUGGUGAGAUGUGUCUGUCUUCCUCAUUACUGACUUGUUUAGCUAGGCAUUUGAUGGUUGAAAUGUACACCCUUGAAAUCACUGGUUGUGAUAAUACUUUUAACUGUUUUAGGCUCUUUCAGGGGAAACGGUAGGAUGUAAGUUGAAUAAGUUUUAAAAAAACAAAACUAUGUUGAAUUUUGAAUGUGAAUUACUUAAAAAACAUAGGUAUUUGAUCCAGUUUUGGCCUAGAAGGAAAACACACCUGUGCAAAAGUAUCUGUUUAAGUGGCUGUAGGAUUGCAAAGCCUAGAUGCAAUGUAACUCUGAGUGAAAUGUGUAUACACAAGAACAUCUGAGCCUUUGAUUGAUGCAAAUCACUGAGUUUACUGAAGGAAUGGAAGAGCAAAUGGAACCAGCUAAAAUUCUAAAGGGGAGGUGAAUUUUCCUUAGAAACCUACUGUUUGGGGUUAGGAAAGUGGAAUUAAAAAAAUGAAAAUUCCCUCUGGGGAUUUAGUAUUUGCCAUGACUGAGCACCUGGAAUUUCCACUUGUGUGGAUUGUUCAGACAUGUUACAUAGCAACAAGCUUUUAUGUAUGGUGGCAAGCAGGAAUGGGUGCCUUUGUCACUGUGGAAAUGGUGGGUGUGACCCCAAUAGUGGGGCAUGGAAUUAGAGAGGUAUGGACCUGCUUCAAUCCAUUCUGCCAGUCAUUCACACUUUCAUCUGGGAUUUUCCAUUCCACUACAAAUGGUGUAUUUUGCAGAACUAUGUCUUCCAUUUCUUUGUCCACUGAUGCAGAAAUAUAAGGUUCUGGUACAUAUAUCAUAGCCUGUAAUCUCACAUAUGUAUCAGCCAUCAACAGAUAUCUACAGAUAGUUCCCUUCUCUGUGUGUUCCCUUUCAAAGUAAUUUCCAGAGAUGUAGCCCUUGUAGUCUUUUACAGCAAAAACAACAAAAUGUUGUGGCACCUAAAGUUUACAAAGUGGCUAAUGGCUACAAUUUUAACCAUGUCUACUCAGAAGUAAGUAAGCCUGUGAGGUAGGUUAGGCUGAGAGAGAGAGUGACUGGCACAAAGUCCCCCAGUGAGCUUCAUGGCUGACAGAGGAAUUGAACUCCUUGUCUCCAAGUUCCUUGACUGACACUUCUCCCUCAUGGGCUGUCUGCACAAGAGGCUUCCAUCCUUUUGACUGAAAGCCUUCUAAAAUCAUGUUGUUGUUGUUGUUGUUGUUGUUGUUGUUGUUGUUGUUGUUGUAUUUAUUCAUACCCCACCUUUUUAUCCUGACAGGAACUCAAUGUUUCCGUUGCUAAUCUGUUUGUGUAUUGUGUAAUAAGUAUAUUAAAUAAAUUAAUUGUGUGUGUGUGUGUGUGUGUAGUUUAUAUAUAUAUAUAUAUAUAUAUAUAUAUAUAUAUAUAUAAAUAUAAUUAAUUAUAUUAAUUAUAUUAAAUUAUAUAUAGAGAGAGAAAAUUUAAUUAUAUAUAUUCAAUUACAUAUAUUAAUUGUAUAUAUUAAAUAAUAUUAACUAUGUUGCAAACACUUUAAUUUAUGAUAUGGAAAGUUAAUUCAGUGUGUGGCUCACGGGUUUUGUGUUGAAGUACUCUUGCAAGGUGGACCACCCUGAUCUAGAGGGUCAUGUUUUCCUCACUCUUCUUCUACUACCUCAGUACUCUCACCCUAUCCCUAUCUUAAUUGUUCUGCCCCUUCACAGGAUCAACCUGAGUUAACCAGGGACACAAGUGAUAGCUUUCAAAGUGUUUCAGAUUCAAAGUGUUGGUGCUGACCUUUAAAGCCCUAAACGACCUCGGCCCAGUAUACCUGAAAGAGCGUCUCCACCCCCAUCGUUCAGCCUGGACACUGAGGUCCAAUGCCAAGGGCCUUCUGGUGGUUCCCUCGCUGUGAGAAGUGAGGUUACAGGGAACCAGGCAGAGGGCCUUCUCGGUAGUGGCGCCCACCCUGUGGAAUGCCCUCCCAUCAGAUGUCAAGGAAAUAAACAACUAUCUGACUUUAGAAGACAUCUGAAGGCAGCCCUGUGUAGGGAAGUUUUUAAUGUUUGAAGUUUUAUCGUGUUUUACCAGAUGGGCAGGGUAGGAGUGAAUGAAUAAAUUAAAUUAAAUUAAAUUAAAUUAAAUUAAAUUUUAAAUUAAAUUAAAUUAUUAUUUCAGCAGAGUGUUUGUGAGAGUCAGUAAAGCUGUUGAUAUUUAGUGUACCCCUAAAUCCUGGUGAAUGUUGUACAGCCAGUGCUGCUGGGGCAUUCUUCAUGUUCUGGCAAAUUGUCUUAGGCGAACAAUGCAUAGGAGACUGUAGUCGCACUAAGGUUCUGCUUAUGAGUUUCCCCAGCGCACCCGCAUGGCUGCUGUGAGAGCCUGCUGGAUCAGGCCUUUCUUAUGUUCUUCUGUUUCUCCACCAGUCCCCCAACUUCUGAAGAAAACCAAGCCACACAAAGACUAUUUCCAUUGCCUAGAGAACAAAGUGCAAAGUAAUAAUAAUAAUAAUAAUAAUAAUAAUAAUAAUAAUAAUAAUAAUAAUAAUAAAAAUGACUGCUUCAGAGAAUUAGCAGCUAUUCUGCAAAACAUUCCACAGGAGCCAGAUCCAUCAAAUGUAACCGUUAUGUGAGUGCACAUCCAUUUAUUUCCACUAAAGGUUAAUUGCAAAAAAGAAGAGAAAAAAGUUUUGCAUUUGAAAAGUUCAGGGUGUAAUAAUUAGUUAGCUAUUACUGGUUGGGGAAGUCACACAACACUGGAGUUGUUCCAGAAGAGGAUAAGCAUAAAAUAUUUGGCACUCUGAGGAGUACAAUUCGCAUGUGAGAAUGCAGGCACAUGGAUUUCUGGACAUGGCUUUCUGCAAAUCUUUAUAGGAAGUGCAGGGGGAAGAAAUGAUUAAUUAGGCAGUGACUCUUCUACCCUUCAGAGGAGGUUUGUUGAGAAGCAGCUAGGGGAAAUUUCAACAUGUUGCAACACAAAGUCAGUGCAAAAGCAUUUUCUUUAACAAUAUAACAUCUGAUUCUCAAUGCAAAACAUUUUUGGACCUUGUUAUGUGCUUUAGUAACCUUGCCAAACUUUUUAAUGGCUAGGCAUUUUCCUUAUGAUUGGCUUUCCCCCACACUAAUUGUUAUAUAAGCAUUUCAAACAACAUUUCCCCAUGUCAUCUUUUGCUUCAUGUUACAUAAGUCAAUUCAGGAACAGACUGGUAAGCCACUAAAAGCUUCACUGACACAAAGUUAAAUGGAAACUAUUUAUAAGGAGACAUGCAUACAUACAUCUAUUGAGAGAUUUCAGGAGUGGGCCAGUGGGGGGGUGGGGGUGGCAGGGAGAGCAGCCUGACCAAAAUCCCACACAGAGCUCUGAUCAGUAUCCAACAGAGAUGUCCAAAACCUGCUUUUAAAACACACACACUUACACAUUGCUGCUGCCUUUUCCCAGUUCAGCAACUAAAAUCUUACAGAAAAAUAAAAUAAUAACCUGCCUUGCUCUUAAACUUCAAGAAUUUCAAGUGCACUUCAGAGUACAGUAAUAUAGAUCUGCCCUGUAUUGCUCCUGUGGGGUUAAAUAAACGAUAAAUAGUGGGUGUAAAUGUGGGUGGAAAAUGUAUCCAGCACUGUUGAAGAACUCGAUAGGCCCUUCUUCUCUCCCCUCUCAGUAAUGCAGAUCCUUUUUCAAAUAGCCAUGAGGGAUUGCACAACCAACUCGAGACAUUUUGCUGAAACUCCUCUGUCUUCCCUCCCACUUCCUCUUGUGUUGUUGUUUAGUUGUUUAGUCGUGUCCGACUCUUCGUGACCCCAUGGACCAGAGCACACCAGGCACUCCUGUCUUCCACUGCCUCCCGCAGUUUGGUCAAACUCAUGCUGGUAGCUUCGAGAACACUGUCCAACCAUCUCGUCCUCUGUUGUCCCCUUCUCCUUCUGCCCUCCAUCUUUCCCAACAUCAGGGUCUUUUCCAGGGAGUCUUCUCUUCUCAUGAGGUGGCCAAAGUAUUGGAGCCUCAGCUUCAUGAUCUGUCCUUCCAGUGAGCACUCAGGGCUGAUUUCUUUCAGAAUGGAUAGGCUUGAUCUUCUUGCAGUCCAUGGGACUCUCAAGAGUCUCCUCCAGCACCAUAAUUCAAAAGCAUCAUUGUACCAUGUCAUUAAAAAGUCCAGUGAGGUAACUAAAGCACAUAACUAGAAUAAAGAUACAUCUCACCUUUAGUUAGGGAUUCUUUCUCCUUGGAUCAAACCUCAGCACCAGUUCCUAUUCUGAAAUGAAACCUGUGAGCUCAUGGGCUGUUUCUUUUCUGGACCAGGGAUAUCUCAUUGAUCAUCGCUGCUCCAUUGACUAAGAGCUCAUCCACACUGCCACUUAUUCUGCCACCUUGCUCUUUACCACUGAAUCGGAGCAAACGUCACCGAGGUUUUCUGUGGACUGGCAUUUGCUCUGGUUCAGAGUUAAAGAACGGGUUUCCCUGGGGGAAACGGGGGCAAAUGAAAAACCGCAUUGAUGGAAGGAGCAAGUCUGCCCAGGUCCUCCUUGGAUUAAAUUGACAUUUCCCCUGCUUGCCCUCAUCAAAACUGGGGUGGGCGAGUGGGCAUCUGAAGCCAAUCAGAUUGGGUAAGGCAAUUCAGCUUCACCCACCCUCCCAUGCCCCACCAAAGUCAUUCAUACCAGCCUCACAAACACUCCCCUAUUCCACUUACUUAGUGCAUUGACUGGGAAGUAGGAGCAACAGUGGGGGUCACUGCAGUUUGGGAAAACUCCCUGUACCUUCCACCAACCCUUCUAAGCAUGCUUCUGAAUACCAGUUACCAGAAGCCGAGGUGGGGAGAGCACUUGGGUCCUGCUUGUGGGCUUCCCAUAAGCCAGAUGACUGGCCACAAUGAGAACAGGAUGCUGGGCUAGACUGGUCACUGGUCUGAUCCAGAAGGCUCUUCCUAGGUCAAGUGACAAGCGUACUACAGGAGGGUAGUUCUUGGUGUUCUUGCAACGGUAGUGCAUUUUACCAGAAAGGGUUUCUUUCCCUUUUUCUUUUAAGAAAGGUAUUGUUUUCUGGGUACUCAUAUAGUGUUUCAUUAGAGGACAUGGAAACAUUCAUAAUACUCAUAAUCUGUUUUUAGAUUAGGAUUGCCCCACAUGGCACAUCUUAGCUUGAUUUCCACCUGUUGCAACAAAUGUCAUUUAUAUCCUAUGCCUGCAUUUAAUCACUUGGUUUUUUGAGCAUGUGUUUUAGUUGGGAAUUGACUGUGUUUAUCUAGAAAAAAAUUAUGCAGUGUGUUAAUCAGUUAGGGCUUUUUUUUUUUUAGCAAAAAAGUAGAAACUUUAUUUAAAUUUUGCUGAGUCAACAGCCCCAUUCAGAAAGGCUAUAUUGAUUUAAGCAGUUCUAUUGAUCCCCUUCGUAUCAAAUCUGAGCUGCUAGCAAACUCACAGGUCGGUGAUGUUCUCUUCAAUUGAUCCAUGCUUGGCUCACUGCAAAUGCUUUUCAACAAUAUUUUAAGUAACAUCUGGUAAAAAUCAAUGUUUCAACCUUAGGGGGUUUAAAACACCAAAUGUUCAAACAUUUUAGAACUUUUUGGUGCCAUUCUAAAAAGUUACUUGGCAACUGUAAUCCAAAGGGCCUAUCCAGUUAAUUCUAAUGUAGGGGGUUAAAAGUACCAGUUAAGCAUAUCCUAUCUCUGAAUUUUGGUAGUAUACUUAUCUUUCCUGGUAUAAACUGCCAACAGGGACCUAAUGUUCCUUCCUGCAUAAUACUAAUACUAAUACUGUCCGACAGGACAGUAAACAGCUGUCCUGGAUGAGGAAUUCAAUUUUUAAUUCCAGUUUCCCAACCCCAAACAGUUGAUUUCUGCAGAAAAUCUGUGCGUUUGGAUUUAGUCAGGAUCCAUUUGCAUUGCAGCUCCUUUAGUAUCAUGAUGGAAUUCUUCUACAGCUAGAAUGGAAAGCCUAUAGCCUUCCUGAUACUGCUAAAUUCCAUCUCCCGUCAGCCCCACCCAACACAGCCAGCAAUCAGGGAGUAAUGUUGUAGUAGCAGUAACAUUUGGAGUGCCACAGAUUCCCUCUCCCCCAUUUUCCAGGCACACAUAUAUGUUGUUGUUGUUACUGUUGUUUGAACCUUAGAUUUAAGCAGCAAGAUACCUGUGGAAGAAGUAACUGACUUCACUGGGAACACCUAAGCUCUCCUAAGGUGCAGUCAUGCUAAGAGGGAACAUGGAUCGACUAGGGUUGCAGGAAUGUGCAUUUAGUUCUGUUGCAGAGGCCAUGUCAUGUCUCCUGGCCCCUCAUGUGAUAAUGUGAACUUCUACAGUUCAGCUAAUUUCAGGCCAAUCAGACACUUGCUAACAAUUAAAUUUUAAAAAGAGAACAUUAGUACCAUAAUUUUGUAAGAUAUCGAAUGCAUGUGAAAAUUUCAACUCUGUUUGAGGCUCAUUAGUCACAUCUCUGGAUCUCCAUGUAUGUUGAAUACCACAAUGGCCAAUAGCUGAGACUCUAAUAAUGAAGUACCUCGGGUUAAAACUUUGGCUCUAUCUUCAACUGAUUUGGCCUACCAGCAAUGGUAUUGAAUUGGUAUUGAGCUCAUAUGGAUAGGAUGUGUGAUAGAUGUACCAUUUGUGUUCCAGAUCUUGUCUGCUAUAGAAUUUAGUAGAAUAUUCUGACUUAUUUUUGCUUCUGCCUCAGGCUUUGACCCUUGAAUCUUCCAGGCUCACAUUGUGCUUCAGGUGUUGUAAGAGAAGAUUUUUAUCAAUGAGAAUGUAAGAAGCUGAAAUGUAGAAAACACACCAACCUUAGACCAACUAUUGUUAGCUUCUAUGGUGUUUUUGAAUUAUGGUGCUGGAGGAGACUCUUGAGAGUCCCAUGGACUGCAAGAAGAUCAAACCUAUCCAUUCUGAAGGAAAUCAGCCCUGAGUGCUCACUGGAAGGACAGAUCGUGAAGCUGAGGCUCCAAUACUUUGGCCACCUCAUGAGAAGAGAAGACUCCCUGGAAAAGACCCUGAUGUUGGGAAAGAUGGAGGGCACAAGGAGAAGGGGACGACAGAGGACGAGAUGGUUGGGCAGUGUUCUCAAAGCUACCAGCAUGAGUUUGACCAAGCUGCGGGAGGCAGUGGAAGACAGGAGUGCCUGGCGUGCUCUGGUCCGUGGGGUCACAAAGAGUCGGACAGGACUAGACGACUAAACAACAAAAAUGGUUAUAAAAAUAAUUUAGAUACCACCUUUCAUUGCAAGAAGAAAUGCCAAGGCCCUACAGCUUGGAUCCCAUUGUUAAAGAUGUAUAAAAAUGUAAGGUUAAUAAGGUCAGUGAAAUCAUAGAAUACACCCUAUAUAUCAUAUUAAUUCUCCCUCUAUAUUUCAGAGAAAAACUGAAUGGAUAAAUAGGUCUUUCAAAAUAAAAUUCCAAAUCUAGCAAGGUUAGAAAUAAAGGAAGGAAUUUUCUUCUGAACAAAUGGCAUUUUCAGUGUACUAAUAUAUUUUUUCCCUGUGAUCACCCUGACUUUAUCUAAUAAUCUACCUCCUAUUUACUGCAGCCUAAUUUCAUUUGGUUUUAGUGAUCACUACUUUUCCAUUUAAAGUGAUCUGAUUAGAACUUCAGAUAUUUCCAUUUUUCAACAUAUUGCACAUCUCCUGCAAGUCUCCCUACCAUAGAUUCAGGUGGAAUUUGAUUAAAGUGGACAAUUUACUUAUGAUGCAUGGUCGGUUUAAGACACUCGAGCAGGCAAGAAGGCGCCAGCACAAUUUUGAUCCAGCUUGGGCACCAGUUAACUUCUCUUUGUCCUUGAUAUAUAAUAAGGAUUUUAGGAAAUUGCAUCAGAUUUCUCUUAUAUAAGAGUGAGGCUGUGCUUCUUGAUAAGCAUCACAAAUGUCUUGUCUCCCUCCUUUCCCUCUUCAGAAACGUAUGCCUCCCUCCUCACUCCUCGGUAUCUAAGCUAGAUUAUAGCACAGGCCUUUCUCAUUGCAUGUGCAAUGAGGCUAGCAGAUGUAAUGAUUUUGUGUCUUGUAAUGUUGUUUAUUGACAAGGUUUAGCGCAGUUCAGGGAUGUGGCUAAUUUCCUCCCUAUACUGCAAAAGAAAACAAAAUGCAACAAACAAACAAAAAGCCUUCUCGGUGGUUGAUGACAGCGGCGCUGCAAACAAAUAGCUCUGCACUGAUGUUUUGUAAUGUUGCUGAUUCUUUAAUGAAGAAACCUCACUAAAAAUUCAUGGUGAAUGGAUAGUAAGCUCAUUAGCACAAUGGUAAGAAAAGAUUUUUAAACACUACCUCUAGUAGGCAGAAUAGCCGUCGGGGUACGGUUUGCAUUGACUGCAAUGCUGCGGAUGUACCACACAGGUAAAGCACAUUCAAAGUGCAUUAUUCCCCGCCCCCCAAAUAAUCCCGGGAAUUGCAGUUUACCUUUCGAAGAGCUACAAUUUUCAGAAACCCCAAAAUAACUACAGUUCCCAAUGUUUUUUGGGGGGGAAAUAAUGUGCUUCAAAUGUGUUUUAAAUAUAGGGUGUGUAAGCAGCAGGCUAAUGCAACAUGCACACGAAAGCUUAUACCAAGAACAAACUUAGUUUGUCUCUAAGGUGUUACUGGACAUUUUAUUUAUUUUUAUAUAUAUUUUGACUGCAUCAGACCAACACAGCUACCUACCUGAAUCUUACUGUGCCAUUUGCUUUAGUGCACAUGCUUGCUGUGGUCAUGUAGCAUGCCGUUAUCAGUAGUGACUGGUGAACUUCCUUUAGCUCACCUUGUUUCCAACAAGUUCCUCUAGAGUGGGGGGAACGAACUAAGAAAAAUGUUAAGAGCUGUAAUGGGAGAUGAUGAUGAUGUUAUUAUUUAUACCCUGUCCAUCUGGCUGGGUUUCCCCAGUGGCGUCAGCACUACAAUGGUUUGAAAAAUGUUCCUAUUUUUGAGACACUUCAACCUCUGUGAGCUUGCUCCCAAAGUGACUGCUUUCUGAGGAAUUUAUUGAAGCACCAUUUCCUUUCCCCCUUUCACACUCAAUUGAAUAUACUGGAAAGUGAUCAGGCCUUGGAUCCAAUUGUCAGUAAAAUCAAGAGGGGGGGAAAUAUCCCAUCUUUAUAUGAAUGAUUUCCAUAAAGGCUGAGAUGUGUCCAACUUGCAUAAGAAUGCAUGUUGUAGAUGAACAAAGGCUGGCCCUAGAAUGGGGAGGUUUUGACCUUUGCUCAUUCUUGACUUAGUAGAUCAAAGGAGAUGAUACAAACAGAGCAGAGCUCCAGUUGGAUUAAGAUGCAAUGGAUCUGAGUGAUGCUGGUUGCCAGUUGCUCAGAGAUGCCAAAACAGAAGUAGUUUACACAAGAAAGGCACAGAGUUGCAUCUUAGAUUGGCAAGUGCAGAUAAAUACUGGGGAGAUAAUAAUUCACCUCCUUCAACAUGUACAUGUUGGUGCAUGAAAGGGACAAUGGAGAAACCGUUAAACCCCUCACUGGAGGCAGUAGUAAUUAUUUGAUAAAUUUGCAGGAGAAAUAUGAAGCCAACCUCCUAAAUUAAGGCAGAAGCUGAAUAAUUUGUAUAGUGCUAUUAAUACCAUUUAAAUUGAUUGCCUUAAGAUUUGUUGUUGUGCUGUUAGAUUAAAUGAUACAUCAAUGUCAGUUUUGCAGUGGAGACCCUCCCCCUUCAAAUCAAUCAUUGACUAGAUUCAGUUCCUUUUCCUCUUGUGGUUUUAAAUGUUUUAAAACGAGUUAUGCAGAGCCUAAAUUGUCCUUAAGUUGCAUCUCCUUUAUAUGAGUACUUUACUUGGGAAUGAUGGACUUGAGAAGUUCUAUUUUCAAGUGCAACAGAAGAAUCAUAUGCACAUACAUUGUUUUAACUGGUCUUAAUAAUAUAUUUAUAUGUUGUUGUAACUUGACCGGGGACCUUAUGGUAAAGGGAAGGUAAGAAAUCUAAUUAAUAACAAUCAGUCAAACAAGAACUGAACCAGAAUGUUUCUCAUUUUAAAAUCGAAAUGGUGUUUAGCCUUGAUAAAGUUAGAAAACAGCAAUGUCAGGACUGCCAGAUACAAAAUAUCACAUCUAUAUGGGAUGCGUUCAUUAAUACUGAAGUUACCACAACCACAGUCAUGGAAAAUCUGUAAUCACGGCUCCUUUAGUUUAUACUGCAGUUAUCUCAAUGUUUCUAUUCUUACUUAAAAGCAGUGGUGUGUGUGUGUGUGUGUGUGUGUGUGUGUGUGAGAGAGAGAGAGAGAGAGAGAGAGGUUUUGAUCAAAGCAGAAGAGGGGAUGGGUCAGUUACUGUAUCCCAACAAUCUAAAUUGUUUCUCUGCGACUGUUGCUGCCCUGCUAAAUAAGCAAUUGAGAUGCAGGUCUGAUUUAACUCAGAUCAGUUUAUUCUGAGCCAAAUUUCCUAAUUUGGGUGGAAAGUAGUUUAGCUUGUUCCAAACCAAUCUAAGAAUCCAGGGACUGGAAGGAAGAGAUUAGUCUCCAGCUACGCUACUCCAUACUUCAUUUUCACUUAUUCCAAAACUGUUCUCCUUUUCAAGCCUUACCUCCUCACUUUUUUUAUCCCCGUGUUUCCUAUACUUACAGUUAUUCACAACUUCCUUCUUUUAAGUUAGAUUGGUCUAAAAUACAGCCAACAUAAUUGUGUUUGCAGUGGGUCUUCUGGGAUAAGAACCUGCACAGCCUCUGAUUUGUUUACAGGUUGCAAGGGUGCGUUGGAGGUUGAAAGGAAUGGAAAAAGAAUCAAUAGCCACUGGCAAGAUCAUGGCCUCUGUAUUUAUGUGCAAGGAAAGUAAUAUAUAAUAAUCUUAACUGAACACUUAACGUUCAUGGUAUAAUUUUUUUAAAACCUGGAAACACGACCAUGAUUGAUGGGAAGGAGAGGAAGUUAUAGAUAGGGCAAAAUUAAAUUUGUCCAUGUGUCAUAAUGCAUGGUGCUCCAUUAAUGUAUCUCCUAUAGUUAUUUAUAAUUCUAGUGGCUUAAGUGUGUGGUUGUAGUAUAGUUCACCAUGUUCAUGUGGGUAUACAAUUAUAAGAGCAUUGCCACAUUUUCUAACCUUUUAGUAUUUCUUCAUAGUUGGAAAUGUGUCAUUGUUCAUGACAUUCCAUAGGUCCUCUAGGGAGCUGGGAGUGGAGAAAUGGACCCAUCCUUUUACGCUAUGUUGCAUCCUUUGCCUCCACCAUCUGUAUUUAGUAUGGUGACUUAUGCAUCACACACACACAAAACUGAAAAAGGAUAGGCAGACAAAAGAAGACACAAUUUGCCUAGCAUUUGCAGAUACUAAUUUAUAUAUGUAUGUAUGUAUGGUGGUACCUCGGGUUAAGAACUUAUUUCGUUCCGGAGGUCCAUUCUUAACCUGAAACUAUUCUUAACCUGAAGCACCGCUUUAGCUAAUGGGGCCUCCCACUGCCACAGCGCCACCGCCGCACAAUUUCUGUUCUUACCCUGAAGCAAAGUUCUUAACCUGAGGUACUAUUUCUGAGUUAGUGGAGUCUGUAACCUGAAGCGUCUGUAACCCAAGAUACCACUGUACAUGAAUGGCCACUCCAUCCCUUUUCCCACUAGCCCCAGGUCUUUCCCCUCUAGGGUUGAAUCCUCCUCAUUUUUGCCAUUCUCAAAUAUCCCAGGCCAGGCUUGGAGGGGAGUUAGAGCCUAACAUAGUAGCUUCUUGCCUGGCAAGUCCCCUCAUGUCGCCUUUUUCUGAAGCCAAAGUUCCCAAUUUCUUAUCACUGUUCUACCAACAACAGUGAUAAAGUGUAACAAGAGGACAGAACACUGGGGACUGGCAAUGUAUUGCCGUAUGAACUGCAUGUGCUGUACUGCACCGUUGAAUCCUUGGGUACAAUGAGGCACAUUGAUUGCUACACAAGUGUAAUAUCAGAAAUCAAUCCAGUGUGCAGGUGCAAUUGCCCAUACACACAUUUUGAGACGCGGUGUUUCUGCAUCUGCGCCGAGUCUAUUAGAAAUAAUAUACUGUGGUUGAUUCUGCAACAGGCAAGACACGCUCAAGGGAAUAAAGCAAACAAAACUGACAACCUCGCAGCUCAUUUUAAUGGCUCCCCGAACAGUCACCUGGUUAAAAGAUUACGUUUGCAAUGCUUUAAUGCAAUGAUGAGUUAAGAAAGUUCAAGAAACUCUGCACUGUUUCUUUAUGAUGAUGAUUAUAAAAAUUGCUUCAUGUUUCCCUGAGAUGCAUUCAAGCUGGUGACCUAGAGGUGGAAGCUUUGGUGUCUUAUUACCAUUCCCAUGAGCCAUGCAUGAAUUUGUGGACCUCUCCGGAGCAAUUCCAUGGUCUGCAGCAGCACACCUAUCAGGGCAGGAAAGCUGAUUAGCUGCAGCCUGCUUUGCACUGGAAUUUAGAUAUCAAGCUUCUUGUGAGCUUGAAGAGGCCCUGUUUUGCUUUGCAUUCCUGGAUUUAUUACUAAGCAAAACCAUCCCUCCAGCAAGCUUACUCUUACCAGGGAGAUAUUUUACCAUCUUCCUUCUCGCCGCUGAAAUAGUUUUCUGCAGCAAAGGUGCCUGAAUUUAGCUCCAGCUAAUUAAAGCAAUGAGAAUCUUUCCUCACCCCAUCUCAUUUCGUUAUAUUGAAAUUGCCUUGCAUUCUAUCCCACACCUUCAUUGUAAUACCAGGUUAUUGUUGUUGUUUUUACAGACACACAACUUUGAAGGCUUUAGUGCUGUUUUUUAAAGUAUAUAAUUAUUUUCAACCUUUCAGACAUGGCUUACUACAGGCAUGUCCAACAGGUCGAUCUUGCUUGACUCAUCGAUCGCGGGGGUGUAUUGGAUCGAUUGUGGUAUCAAGAUAGUGAUCGCCUUUGUGUUUCAUUUUUGUAGUAAAAAAAAGAAAGAAAGCUCAACAACUUUGGUCAAGACUUCCCUAAAAAAAGCUCAGCAACUACUGGCAAUGACAAUGGAUAGAUCACAGCUGGUCUUUUUAUACUGUGAGUAGAUCGCAGUUUCUUGGGAGUUGGACGUGCCUGGCUUACUAUAAAGACUACCCUUUGCCAACUAGGUGCCCACCAGAUGGUUGGGGCCUAAAACUCCCACCAUCCCCAAUCCUUGGCCAUUCUGGCUGAGGAUGAGUUGUAGCCCAAAACAUAUGAAGGCCACCAGACUGGGGAAGGCUGGUCAUGCCCUGAACUUACUACAAAUAGAUGAGAAAGUAGAACAUUGAAUUUGAGCUUCUGGUAUAUUAUACUUCUGCAAUGUUUUUCUUUUUUCUUUUUGAAACGGGUAGUAACUCAGAAGGCUUUACUACAUGAAGGCAAUGAACAACUAGAAAAGUGAAGAUAGUUUCUGGGUGAGAUACAGGUUUGGUUUUUUAAAGUACAGAUUUUUUAUGUUUAUCUUCCAUAUCAAAGUUCAUGAGUUGCUUUUGGGUAACUUGUUAUUCAACACUGCUACCAAAAAAAUGACGAGAAACUGAUCCUUCAGACAUUCAUCUGUUUGUCAUGUUCCUAAAGCUCAUAACUUGGGACAAGGUUACCUGAAAGACUGGCUGUCCCUCUGUAGACCCAUAAGAUCAGUGAGAUCAUCUGGAGAAAUUCUACUUAUGGCAUUUCACCCUGUAGAAUAUCAUAGGGCAGUGACUGCCAGUAACUGCAUUUUUUGCUCUUGUCUCUGUCCUGCAGAGUGCCCUUCCUUCUGUUAUACAGCAGACAUCUGAAGCUCUUGUCUGUUCAGAAUUAAAUUCCAUUGUCCUUAUUUCCAGGCAGGGGACUAUAGGAUUGCCGCUUAAACUAUCUCCAUUACUAGCUUCCCUACACACCUACCACAUCCAACCUUAUUGUGUUCUUAAGGUGGUCAGAGAGUAUUCUGUUCCUUCUCUUCAUCUGAUGAUCAGUAUUCUGAAAACACCCAUACCUUUGCUUUCCUGUUUUCUGAUAUGUGAACAGUCAUCAUCUUAUAAGCCACAUGGAUGCUAAAGAAAUCCUCCCCAGGGAGCAAGGCAUGUGCAAAUAUUAUUCACCCGGAAAUUCCAGUUAAUUAGGUCAUGGCAAGGGCUCUGACACAGCUUAGGUCUUAUUCUGUAGAGUACUUAGUUUAAUGCAGGGACAGAGAACCCUUUUCAGCUCAGGGGCCACUUUCCCUCAUGGACAGCCCUUCUGGAGGCCGCAUGCCAAUGGUAGGUAGGGCUAGGAGGAAAGUGGUUGGAGCAAUGGAUGUAAACGCUUCCCUCUGCACAGUUGGCUGGGUUCCAGCCAGCUAUUUUGACACCCCCUCCACCUACCAUCCAUUCUCCACCCACCAGCCAGAAAAACGAGAGGCAGCCAAGCACUGAUUCCAGCCAGGCAAAAGCACAUGAGGACGAUUCAAAGCAAAGCUGGUAAGAGGGUUGGGCCUAGGGAGAGUCCAGGGCAGCAGAGAGAUUCCUCUGCUCCUGACAUCAUGUCUAAUCCAGUCAUGAGAGGGAAAGGAAAGGAUAGAGGCAAAUGGAGCAAGGCGGGUGGAGGGAGGAUGCUCACAGCAUUUUGAAGCUGAAAAAAUCUCUCAACUAAAUUAUGCUUCAUUAUUCAAAUGGCGCUCCUUUUGCACAGAGAGAUCUUGUCUGGUGCUUAUAUGCAAGCCUGCCUUGCACAUUGUGGCUCUGGGUAUGAGCUACAUUCCAUUUACAAUAAUUAACCUGCUCUUCCUUUAUGCAGUGGAAGCUUCUGUGGUACACAUUCUCUCCCUGAAUUAGAUAUCCAGCUUUGGUGUAUUUUUAUACCUAAUUAGACCUAACCUGUCACAUAGCAAAUAGCUCUAUCUAUUGUGUGAUUUAUAACGUCUUUUUCUAUGCAACUGUAUAUUAUCUCAACAAUUCAAAUCCUUGAAUGUAUUUUAAGUAGAGAGAUGUAAACAGCUUGUUUAACUUGACCUUCAGAUGCCCUUUCCUGCUCAAUCCUGAGCUGAUUUCAUUGGUAUACAAUAUGCACUGUAUUUUCAGCCUGUUACUAUAGAAAAGAGCUGUGAAAUGGCAUUUCCCCUUCCCGUUUCUGAUGCCUGUCAUGCUUCGUCAAUGCUGACAAGCAAUUAUUAGCCUUUGUUUCUUUUAUACUGUAUAUUGGCAAAACAAUCAUUGCAAGGAAUUGUAGAGGUAGAAGCCAUUAUCUUUGUACUGUAGUGGUAACAUAGCUUUUAGGCUUACUGAAAAUAUCCAUUAGGUUCUGUCCUCUUAUCUCGAAAUGCUUUUCUGCUCCGCUUUUGAGUUGCUCUGGGAGUUAAAUCGCCAACUUCGCCGACACUAAGAAAGGAUACGAUAACUUUAUUCUCUCUCAAGUUGAUUUUUAUUUUGGACUAGCCUUUGUGUGGUACUGAAUACACCUUCUGUUCAGUUCAACCCUAGUUAGAUUCCUUUUUCCCCUUACCCCUUUUUAAAUUAAUUGAUUUGUUUACACAGGUAAGUUGUUUACAGUUGAUCCAAUAUACAUAAAACUGACAGACAGAUAUACAAGUAUGCAAAUAUCAUUAAACAUCUAUUAAAUACUCAAAUGAAGCAUAUACAUUUCAUGAAGUUCCCAACAAUGAAUGUUGAUGGACAUUAACUUGUGCCUUAUUGCACCUACAAAUUAUAAAAAUGCUCCAUUUUUUCACAUAAGGUUAUCCAGCUGCCUCCCCUCUCUGACUUGGGGAUCAUCCAUAAUUCCUCUUGUUCCACUGCUUUCCCCUGGGGAAAACUGAUAUUUAGCACUCAGUUGCAGCAAAUGGCAAUUCGUGCUUUCCUCUCAGAAGUGUGGAUGAACACUUUCUGUAUUUGUUUUUACUGUAGGUAUGGUAUCCCAAACUUUAAUAUCCACUUCUCCAGAUUCUGAGAAAAUUUGUCAGAUUCUGUGAAAAUUUGGGUUUUCUUAUUUGCAAUGAAAAGCCAUGCCUUUAAAAAUAAAUAAACUAUUUUUUUAAAAAAGAGGUCAUUCAUGACAACCACAUAAUAUAUCACUGAAUUCCUGUGUUUUGGAUGAUAAACCUACAGAAGACAUGUGGAGGUGGAAAAUAGAUCUGACCCACGUGUGGGUCUAUUGCGUGGACAGGCAGAGUCCCCAGAUCCCGAGCGGUCCCCCCUGUCAUGUGGAAUAACAACUCAAGACAAUGUGCUAUGGGAUUAAAUUGGCCACAACUUUAUUAAAUUUCAAAUGUGGGUAGACCUUGGCUCAGGCAUUGGGCGUUCUCCCUCCCCAGUCCCCAGCCGGGGACCUAGGGAGCAUCAGGGUUAUCCAGUGUGUGUGUGGGGGGGAUGGGCCGGCUCUGGAGAACAUAUGUUCAAGCAGAGAUAGCCGCCCCCGUUACGCCGCCGCCGCAGGGGAGAGCUCUUGCCCCCCCACCCCUCUAGCAAUGAACAGACCACACAUUAUUAAGUAAAUUUAAAAGCUGUACUUACUAAAGCUAAAGGUCUGGUUCAUGUGUUAUUCCAUGCAGCAGCAAGGAGAACACAAGUAGAAUACUCUUGGGUGCAAAAAUACAGAUUAUAGUUUCAAGCAUGCAGUCUGAACUUUGGAGCAAGUUCAGACUCAUCCAGUUAAAAAACAACUCCUUUCUCUCCUGGUCUUUUUGGUGUGGUUAUUUAGAGGAAUGGUGCCUGUAUUGAGAAAGGACAGGGAAGCUUGGGUAGUCAUCUGAAGAGCAUAGCUGUUUUAGCAUCCUGUUUGAUUUUAUGUUUGAUUUUGUUUUGAAGAAUUUUGUUGUUGUGACCCUAGGGAUUGCAGUAGGCACUAGGAAUGAAUUUAUGGAACUAAAGUGGCAGUGGCCCCAUAAAAGUCUGGGAACCACUGAUCUCCAUGUAUCUGAUGGUUUGCAAAGUGUGGGAGAACUGUUAUGACUGUUUUGAAAUGUGCUGCAUCUUUCCAGGGCAGAGGCACCAUUGUGUUCAAGGCUGCUCACUUUUUUCCUGCAGUUUUGCUCCCAAAAUGACAAUGUAGAAAGAUGGGAAGAUAAAAAUGCUGGCCUUAGUACUUCUAUAAAGUGCGCUCUCUCUCUGUCUCUCUCUCUCUCACAUACCCUCAGAGAGUAAAAACAAACAAAAACAAACAAACACUUGGGAAAAAUUAUAAGUCUUUGUUUUAUUCCACUUUGCAAGCCACUGCCCUAAAUGAAGCCAAUAAAUGACUUUAGUAGCACAGUUUCCCAGCUGUGAUCCCUGCUUGCCAAAUUUCAGCCUAAAGCCAUUUUUACAGCUUAAUUGUAGCACACUUGUAAAUAGGGGGUUGCUUUUGGAAAGGUUGACAGACCCAUUGGUCUUGUGUAGCUACACAGGUGCUGCUAUAAUAAACACCUUGAAAGCUGUAAUAAGUUAAAGUUUUAGACUCCCUUUUGUGCUAAUAGCAAUGGCCUAUUCCUUGAGUAGAUAAGAGUGGCCCUCAAACACAUGCUGCAGGUUCUGUUGGACAGGAUUUUGCACAAAAUUUACUUUCAGCUCCAUUCUUAUAAUUAUACUCCUUUUACAGUGUUUGGUAAGACUGAGAAAAUAACAGCCAUUGUUUUUCUCCCAGUGUGUAUGGGCCCUGUAAAAAUAGAAAAAUAAGCUAGAAUCAUGCCUUUUGGUUGAUUCUCAGAAAGGAGAAGCAAGGGGUGAUGCUGCGCCCAGUAUACCUCAUCUCCUUGCUUUGCACCAUUCUUGAUAGUUUUUGCAUGACUGUGCCGUUGGCCACUGAUAAUGAUUCUGACUUGCCUGGUUGAAGUAUACAGAGGUGUGUGUGUGUGUGUGUGUGUGUGUGUGUGUGUGUAGAAAUCAGUAUGCUUUUCCUUCUUCCCCUGCCCACCAUGGAGGCAUGUGGGCUCCAGAAGGUAGAUCAGAAGGGAAUUUGACCCUCAGCCUGAAAAGAGUUAUAGGGAAUGGCUGAUAGUGUGGAAUUUUAGCUCUUAAGAAAGGGUUUCAAUAUUAUGCUGCCUUAGGUUGAGAUCAUGCACAAAGUAUCUAGAUCCUACUAUGCACAUCCUGCCCCAUAUUGAGUGGGAGAGAAAUGAGACAAAAGUGGCUGAAAUAUUCCUCUCAUUGCUAUUUCUCCCCAAAGUGUACUUUGCCAUAAUAUCACGAUCAGGGGCUAACCUCAGCAUUGGAGGAGGUGAUUUUUUUGUGGAAGAAUGGUGUGAGGUAGGAAAGGGCUCACCUUCCCAUUUUGUACAUCAUGGUCUCUCUUCUCCAACUCCAAUGUAGCUAUUUCUGGAAAAAAACCCCAGAACAAGCCUGGGAGAGAUGAUCAUAUGGAUGAUGCGUCACCUAGCAUAGGUCUGACUGCACAGGAAAUAGAAAUACAUGAGAUAAACCCUGUGUGAACGUUGAAGCUCCUCAGUAAACUAAAAUUACAGUUCGCCAACAUUACUCCAGUAACUUCCAUGCCAUCUUACUGGGUAGAACACCUGCAUCAUUUCUGUCUUAACUCUUUGAUCCAUCACCAGGUUUAGUCCUUCAAAUUUGGUUCCUGAAUGCAUGUGUCUCAUGGGGCUAGAGAUGGAAUUUCUGUGGGUGACAACAACCCUGCUCCCUCCCUGCCAGCCUAUGCUGCUGCUGAACCAGAGCUGUGUCUAAUUCAUUCAUUCAUUCAUUCAUUCAUUCAUGCCACCUAGAUGCCUGUAAAACAUACCAGGUCAGUCUCCUCACCCAUGAUUUAUAUGUGAGCUGCAUGCUCAAUCAUGGUUAAGGAGGACACAUCUUUUGUUCUCUACCUACAGGGAUGGGCAUAUUUAAAAGCAUACUGUAUAAGGCAAGUUGGAUCAAGGCAUCAUACUUGAUAAACUAUUGGCUCUAAGCCCAUGCAGGGCAGGUUUGUGAUCUUCUCCAAAGCCAACCUUCCCACUGAAUCUGUCUUCUCCCACUUUGGCUGCUCAAUAAGGGUACAACCAGCAACCUGGAUCAUUGUGACCAAUUUUUCUUUUGAGAAGGGACUGCUGAGGGGAGAGCUGACCAUUAAUUGUGGACCCCCGAUACAGGUAUUUUUUUGUAAAAAUAAAUAAAUGUUUGGUUGGAGAACCACACCACAAAUUUCAGGUGCUAAUUUCAAAGGAUGCCUGUAUUUCCGGUCAUAUUGUUUCAGAAAGUACUAAUUUGAUAGAUUUGCCUUCAAAUAGGAAUUGAAUCAAAUUCCUCCCUCAUACCUACAUGAGAGCUAUUUUUAAUGAAAAGGACAGAAUUUUCCCGCAUCUUUGAAAAGUAUCAUGUUUAGCUCAGUCAUGAGAAAAAAAGUUAUCUCAAGUGAUUAUUCAGAUGUCAGCUCACCUUAGCUUGCCACACAUCCUGUAUCUUUGGAAACUUCCUAUUUUUAGUCCUGAGCUUUCUCUGCAUUCAAAACUGCUGACAACACUGAAAUCCUUCCUGCACAAUUCAUUUGGCAAAUAAUUAGGAGCAACCAUUGCUGAUUUGCUUUAUGUGCAAUUUAAUGAGCCAUAUGUGGGCCACGUUAAAUUUAAGAUGUUGCAUAUUAUCUGGGCAAGUGAUAUUAUAUAACACAGUGUCAUGUAGCAUCUUGCAAGAUGUUUAAGGUUUCUGUAUCAUAAGAAGCUGAAAUAUUCAGUGGAAUCUUUUACUGUGGUCUGAAGACUAGUCUUCUCAGUCAAAAGUGAGUAGGUGUAUGUCCAUUGACAGUGGUUGGCAUGGUAAGCCAAUUUUCUCUGUGCAGCAGGCCUGAUCCACAACUAUUGGAAACUGACCCACAACUAUUGGAAAUGAGAGUGAACAGUUGUAAGCAAAUGGUUUCAUGUGUAUUAAGCUUAUCUAGUGUGCCUAUAAGUGUCUGAUCCUCCCCUUUAACAUUUUUCUAAAUGUUAACCCAAGCAUUCAAGGGAAAACUGGGAUAAAAAUUCAAAUUAGAAAACAAUAGCAACCCAGAAUGUAAAGACAUACCAAUAUCAGCAUGCUAAAGUGAUAGCCAGCUCUUCAAUUUUUGUGUUUUAAAGUUCUGGUUCUAAUGUUCUAUUCAGCUGCCAUAGCGAAAGACGUUUUCAGUCACCUGAGGGAGGUCUGUUCCACAAUUUCUAACAGUUUAUAAUGAGAUUUUCAUAUAGUAGUGGAAACCUUUAAAGAUAACCAGGGGAACUUUGCCUGCCUGGUGUGGCGUAGAGGCCCCUGUCAAAACCAUUUCCAGUCACCAGCUUGGUUAUGUUAAUUGUUGGCAAAAUUUGAUAAGAAAUGUGGCCAGUUUACUUCCCUGUCUCUAAACUCAGCUGUGGAAAAUUUGGGCAUGUAGAAUUUGGUGGCUGGUUUCAUCAAACGUAAGCAGUCUGGCUAUGGGAUAUCAGGGGCUCCUCAAAUAAUUUCAGAUGCAAUGCUUUUCAGCGAAGUCAGUUGUCUGUUCAUAGGAACAAUUUCACACAACCUUUCACCACAUGUAGAGCAGAGAGUGAUACUACAUCUAAUGUCCUCUACUCCUAUGCAUGUGUACAGGUAGUUGAAAUUUUAGAAUAAAAGCUGUACACAUACAGCUGGGUGUGCCGGACCUUUUGCUACACAUAUAUAGUUAUCUGCUGUCAGGGCUGCAGUCAGAUGCAGGUUAGCAAGAAAGGAAGCAAAGCUCCAAUGUCAGUGAAGUAAACUCUUUAUUCAAGGAAACAAAAUACAACUCAGCCAAUCCAUGACAUGUGCAUGCUGGUUCUUUUUCAACCUGCAGUCGAAUGCUACUGGUUACAGUAGAGCCUAGGGAUGGGGGAGGAAUUCAAUUCAGUUUGCAUUCAAAUGCAAACUUUCAUGCAUUGCAGAUUCCGAAACAAUAUGCAAACCAAUCCAGGGGUAAAAUAUGGGGAGAAGCAAGUAAGCCCUGUGCCACAUAAACACAUGACACGGUGCAUGGACUCCAUUUGAAUGGCAAUGCCCAUCAACUUCGGGAACUCCAACCCGCUCAAAUAUUUUACUGGGGGCCAAAGGCCCCUCAGCCCCUAGGAAUUGGCUCCUAUGAACCAAUCAGAGUCAUCCUUCAGAAAUUCACAUUUCUCUGAAUUUUGCAGUGCAUUUCUCCAGCACACAAAAAUGCAUAUAUGAAUGUAAAGUGUGCAUAGAAAUGCAUAUAUUAGUUAAAAUAACAUAAAACACAUAUUUUUGCAAAGCAGUUUCCCCUGAUGUGUAUCUUAGGAUAAAUUUGCACUAAAGUGCUAAUGAAUUUUCAUGAGGGCUUAAAAGCUGCAACCCACAAACUAAAGUGGGAGUGUGGAGCAUUGAAUUUAAAAUUAGAAAAAAGAGAAAUGGAGAGAAACCAAAACUGAGUAUAAGUGGGGUUCAAGUGAAGAAAAAUCAAACCUUGUCAAAGCACGGUCAAAACUGAAAGACUGUUUGGAUUGUUUGAAAUCCAAUUCAAUGUUGUCUGUGUGCUUCCAGCCUUGUAUCCUAUGUUUUAACAAACAAACAAACAUCAGUCUAUUCAGUCCCAAAAUUCAAGGGUGAAUGCUGAUCCUUGUGUAGCAAAAAUGGCAGCAUCCAUGCAAAAAGAAAAAGGAGAAAGGAGGUGUGAAAGUUUGCAAGGGGGAAAAAAGUCUAGGAAAAAAACCUUAAGCGGGUGGACACCCAAAUCAGCCCCCUGAGGACUGAGAGAGAAUGUUGAGAAAGAAUAACUCAUUCUUGGUCAAAUUGGGAGAGCUGGAAGUCUGUGUCAGCCAUGUUUACACCCCACUAUUUCCAUAAUUAUUGGAAUUAUUACUAGCUGUACAUAGCAUUGACAGAUUCACUAUACUCUUUCCCACAUAGUAAAAAUAGAUCAGUCAGGAUCUUGGCACAAUAUUUGUGGUACAGCCGCAUGCAUAAUAAACAGGAACACCGUUUUUUUUUAAGAGGGAAAGAAGGAAGAGAUAAUUUCAAAUAGCAUGGAAGUCCAUGUUGGGGUUAGAGAGCAAGUUUGUUAAACUGGUUUGGGUUCUCAUUAGUGGUCAAUAUGUGUGGGUCAGGAGAGGAAACGGAAAACCACCUCCCUCCCUCAAACUUACUUUCAUGGUUGUAAAAUGGGCUUAGCAUAAUUCAUCGCUCAAAGAAGCUCCUUUACAAAACUACCUGCAGAUGGAAAAAUUUGUCUUGUCUUGUUUAUUCACUCUGGGUUCCUGAGCUUGUUUUGUUGCAUUUGGAAGUGAAUUGUUUGCCUUUUUGGUGCAGGUAACACUGGUCAACAUUUUUACCCAUUUGAAGAGGGGGCCCAUUCAUCUGAAGUGUUGUGGAACUAACAAUAUGACUCAGGCUGAGGAAUGUGUGUGGUAUAUGUUGGGUUGUGCUUUUUCUUCUGCUCAUGAGUGUUAAAAGAGAAGAGCAAGGAGGAAGAGUGGGGAGGGGGUGAAAUAAAUAAAUAUUCCCCUCUAGAUAAAUAUUAAUGCUGGACUCAAGGGGGAAACAAAUUUUUUUAAAUAAAAAAAUGUCAAUAUUCAACAUAUAAUGAACAUAACACUCUAUUGACUAUUCACUAAUGAAACUUCUAGGCUAAUCUAGGCUUCUGGCAUUGGCAGAAAAAUGUCCAUAUUAAGGUUCCCCACCCCCACAGUCAGUCUACCAGUAAUAGGCAUCGUUGUUAGAACAGUUUGGAGGACAUAAUGAUAGAUUAUUUGUGAUACUGGUCCCAUUUGUGAAAAGGCCCAAAUGUAACUUGCCGAAGAUACAACUUCUGGGAUGUGAUAAAUAAAUAAUCUGUCAAUUCAAGGGUGUGUUUUUCCCCCCUUAUUCCAAAGAAGGAAGUAUCUGUUUUGGGUUCGUUGGUUUUUGUUCAGUAGCAUGUUCAUAGUUACAAGCUGUCAAUGUAUUCCAACACCCCUGAGAUUCUAGCUCUCUUCCCUCUUCCACAUUAGCCCAAAUUCUCCCUAGUUGUUUUUCUCUUUUAUCAUAGAAAGCUCCGAGCUGCCCUUGUAACUGCUCUGGUGGCACUGAUGGCCUGACAAGCCAAAAGCCAGUGAACUAAGCACUAAUGGGGGCUUGUGAGAGGUGCAGAAUUCUAACUUCGAGGAUUUUGAGAAAAUAUUAAAUCCCUGCAACAAGAUGUUGCAAUGUGGGGUGCUUCUGCAGUGUUCAGGCAACUCUUUACUAUCCACCUACAUCUGGUUUUCCUUAACCCACUCACCCAACAUUUAGUAGCCAGUGACAUUGAGCAUGCUCAGUCCUCAUUAGGCAGGGUGUGUGUGUGUGUCUUUUAGGAAGUUUCCUCUAUUUGGGAGGGUGGCAUGGUGGUGUCCACCUUUUUGGAAGGUAGAGGGAAGGUGUCCCAGGUACAUGAAAUGAUUUAAUUUCACCUUUGAAACAGCUCUCUCUUUUGCCCUGGGAACAUUUUAAAAUACCAUAGUUUCUCAGCGUGAACUAGGAAGUGAUGUACAUAGACAAGGAAAUGUAAUUUGUUUCGUUGUUCUUCUUUUCCAGCCACUCCAUUCUGUUUACCCCUGGAGAAGGUAAGGGCUCUGCACCCAGUCUACUAAGCAUUCUAUUUCUCCCCUCCCAGAUUGUCAAGUGUUCUGUAUUAACCAAUCUGGAAUAAAUACUGCUCUGCUUCAAUUCUUACCAUGGCUCCUCAGAUGAGGCUUCCCAAUACUACACUGGUCUACUCAAAAGUAAGGCCUACUGAGUUUGAUUUGUUUACUCUCAGAAAAUAUAAAGAGAUUUAAAAAUAAAUAAAAAAUAGUAUAGCACACCAAUACUGUUCUGGAAAGCAAGUGUAAGCAAUUCCUUUCAGACUCUAGUGUGCUACCAGCUUGUUCUUAAACAACUGCAGCAAACACUCCCCUAGCCCUGCCACACAACCAGGAGAAAGUUAUUAAAACACACCAUCAAUUUAUUUAUCUCAAAUGAAAUCCUGCCUCUUCCAAAUUUUUCUGAAACUACAUGAAACAGGGAGCACUUUGAAAAGCAAUGGGAAAAUAAAGAGAAAAAUAAUGGGAAAGAAGGGGUAGCUCAGUCAGUAGAGCAUGAGGGUAUUAAUCUCAGGGUUAGAGCCCCACAUUGGGUACAAGAUUCCUGAAUUACAGGCCAUUGUACUAGAUAGCCCUUAGUGUCCCUUCCAAUUGUACAAUUAUAUGGUUUUAUGAAUUUUUAUGGUAUGGAAGAAUGAGACAGCUUUAGGAGCUGUUAAAGGUAAAGGUAAAGGGACCCCUGACCAUUAGGUCCAGUCGUGGCCGACUCUGGGGUUGUGGUGCUCAUCUCAUUUUAUUGGCUGAGGGAGCCGGCAUACAGCUUCCGGGUUAUGUUAGGAGCUGUUGGGGAUGCAUAAAAUGAAGUUGAGGGCUUCAUAUGCCCCCCCAGGCUUCUCAAAUGUGACAUAACCUAUUCUUUAAAGGUGUUGUGUGCAUGCAUAUGAAGAACUGGAUUGUGUCUUUUCCAAAAAAGAUAAUUCUUCAUUACUACUGCUCUUUAGUAUUGCCUGCUUCCCUCCCUCUAAAAUCCUAUAUUAAGUAUGAUUUACAUAACAUCCACAUUACGUAAUAGAUACUGUGAAAGAUACUGAGUUUGGCAUUCCUGAAGUGGGGAGUCUAAGAGGGCAAAGGAUGUCGGGCCAGUCAACGCCAUAAAAAGGAGAAUGAUGAACAUACAUAUACAGAGCUGCAUAACUGAUAAAGUCAGGAAGAGUGAAUGUUGACAUUUCUGUGUUUCUGUCUGUUUCGAUUGCAUUUUAAAACUUGAUAUCUGUGGGGAUUUUGCUGUUUUGUCUACAUGUGAUAUGCGCAGUGGGGAAACAGCGAUCCACUGGAUCAAUCAAUUCCUUGAAGGUUAUACGCUUUGCUGGUGGUUUCAGGGUGGAUAAUUAAAAAAAUAUGCCUUACUGCAGGCUGGUGAAAGAUAUGUUUGCUGACAGGGGCUUGUGGGAAGAGGUGGACUUCAAAGUGGCUGCUUGUUCAGAGCAUGGAAAAUGUAUCAGUGAAGACAAAUAUUGUCAGAGUACAGAGCUUGUGGUUUAAGCUCAGAUGAAUGAACACAUCACUUCUGUAAUGAUGCAAAGGAGAAAAGAUUGUAAAUCUGGCUUCUCUGGGAAAAGUGAACUUUGAGUGAAUUCUGAAGGCAUUAUUUCUACAGAAAGUGCUUUCAAAUUUACAUCAAAAGCAGAGCACAAAGCGCCUUCUUCUUUCUCUUUUUCUCAGCUCCAUCCACGCAGCUCAGCAAGUAAACAUGGGAAGGCAUUUUAAUAGCUGGCAGUGCACUGUUUACCCACCGCUUUAUCAAACAGGAUGGCUGCAGAGAGUAAUCAAGGCUUCAUAUGGAUUGCAUUAUUUUGAUGCAUGGUGUCAUAUUUUCUUACUGGUUCUGAUACAUCAGUGACUUUCAGUUGCUUAUCUCAGUUUUGUGGCUUAUAAACUGUAAUUGACUGUCUCCAGGGACAACAGUAAACUAUUUUUCCCUUUGCUGUUAUCAUUUUUUGCCCUAAACUUUUAUUGUGUGCUCUUUCCCUCCUUGAAAUAAUAAUAAUAGUAGUAAUUAUUAUUAUUAUUAUUAUUAUUAAUAAUAAUAAUAAUUAUUUCAGCUUGAUAGUCUAUGUGUGUAUUAAUGUAACAGGCAACAUUUUAUUCUGUUGAUCUGCAAAUUCUGAUUUUUAAAGCAACAACUGAAGCUGUUUCAUGUGUUUUACUAGUGUUACAAUAUUCAUUAGAGGCAUUUAAAAUAAGCAGAUUUUAAAUUGUUUCACCUACAAGAACAUAGUGCAUUUUUCAUCCUUAUUUAACCCAUGCAUAUCCCAUCAGGAAUCCUAAUAUGGUCUGGGGGCCAUUUUCCCCAAACCACACCCACUUGACCUCCCCUGAUGUCACUUGUGAUGUCAGGUGUGAGGCAGAUAAAGGCAUGGUAGCCAUCACUUUGAAGUCUGUUUGCUAGGGGUUUGUACUGAAAAACUUGUAAGUGGACUUCAAAGGUGAUCUCCGUUCAAGUUUUCACUUGAUAUCAUUACCUACAUCUGGCAAAGUUCACCUGUAGGUAGAAGGGAGGAAGGAUCUGGUCCCAUGGUCAUGUCCAGUUUCCCACUGUUCGUUUAUCAUAACAUCCAAAUGCUCCAGGAGCUAGUUGCAAACAUUCACCCUUCCACAGAUCUUUGACUGGGGCUGCCACAGUCCUUUCGACAAAAGAGUUGGAUGAAGCCCAUCUUGGAAUCUUCAGCCAUGAAACCGAGGAGCUACUGAAUUUAAAGAGUGGCUUCUCACUGCUAGCUUUAAAAAAAUUAUGUGUGUGUAAAUUAAUAUAAUAUAAUAUAUAAUAAUAUAAUAUAUAAAUUUCUGGUUUACACCUCAUAGCUAUCAUAGAGGGACUUAAUGGCUUUCUGGAAGAUAUGUCUUCUCAUUCUCAACUCCCCAUCUCUAAUGCAGGUUUAGUAAUAUGGUAAUCAUUAAAGGUGGGCAGCAACCACAAGAUUCACCUUGUAUCUGUAGUUUGGGGAGCAGCCUGAUCUGUUUCAGAUGUGCUCUGAUUUGAUUCAUUAUUUGGGUCUACUUUUCUGUUAAAUCUGAAUCUUUGUCCCACCUCCAUUAACUAGAAUGGGGAAUCCAAAAUGGCUAUAACUUUUAUGAAGGCAUCCUUAGGUAAGAAAUCUGCCAAAGUUCAGACAAAUAGGUUAUGGGACUAUCAAGCUCAGUCAUUUUACCUUUGUUUAUAGCAAAAUUAGAAAAGUCAUAGUUUGUUUUUUGCUGCCACCUCUUUUCUGGAAGUACCUUCUAGGAACAAAAAAAGAGAGAGAUCUAGGAUUUUUAAUUGUUGCUUGGGACAAAAAACACCUAAAGAAGAAGCAGAUCACCCCAAUAGCCUAACACCACUGCUUAUGCCUUGCUCUCACAGCCAAAACUCUGGAAAGAAUGAUGAGAAACAACCCUGCUUAUUUACUUCAAGAUUCCUCCUGCAAAUCAUUGGGAUUGGAGCAGCCUCAUAAAAUAUUUUGUUGUGGUUAAAAGCAGACAUGUCCAUCAAAAUGAAAAAUCCUCCCCUCUCCCCCACUUCUUGAGUUUUGGGGAUUUCUUAAAGUCAGCAUGGUUUCUUUUCUCAUAAAAAAAUAAAAAAUUGUGCAUUAAACUUUUUGGAAAAAAACAACUCAGAAAUUUAGAGUGGUGGCUGAUCUGCCUCAAGACACCUUGUUAAUGUGUCUUGCGAGGACAUGACCUGAAUCACCCCCAUUUUUCUUGUUGUUUGGGGUACACACAAAGCCAGUGGGCACUCCUAGUAAUCACCAAAUGAGGUUGUGGAUUCAAGCCCCACGUUGGGCAAAAGAUUCCUGUACUGAAGGGGGUUGGACUUAGAUGACCCUCAUGGUCCCUUCCAACUCUACAAUUCUAUGAUUGAUGCAAGAGUUGCAAGAUAAUGAGUAUGAACAGUGCUUUGACGACGUGACAGUGCUUUACAAAUGUUAAAUGUUGUGAUAUUAGUACUUGACCAAGUAUUAGUACAAGGCCAUUUGGCUGGGAAACACAAAUCCUAGGAUGGGAGCUCUUCUGCCAUAGACUGAUGACACAUUCUAGAAGAAAGCUGGGUUGUUGGGACCGUUGAUCAUGUUGUUUUGAUAUUGGAGUACAGAAUUGUGGCCUAUAAGUCCCAAAAACAUUUGUGUUCUUCAGGAUUCUGAGUUAGAUGGCCAAACUAGAAGUUGGCAGUCCCACUUCACAGAAAAGAAACUAGAGUUCAAGGACAGUUAAGUUACCCUAGCGGGCUGGCCUUUGAAUGAGGGAUAGAAUGAGGUGACAAUUAGGUUCUCCACAUUAUUUUGCAAUUUUUUAAAAAGUCCUUAUGAAAAUUUGCCAGCAUUUUAGUGCUUAUUUCUCCUAAUACGUUUUUUUACAUGCAAGUUUCCUUAAUACAUUUAAUACAUUUUCACUAAAAUAUGUAUCUUUAUGCACACUUUCCCCCCAAUGCACAUGUUUUAAUACAGUUUAUGGAUAGAGAACUGCAUGGCAAAAUUCAGAGAAGUGUGCAUUUCAAAGGACAGCUGCAUUUCCCUUAGCAAAUUGUUUCAGGAAGUGUGAAUUAGAUAGGUUCUCAUUAAAAUGCAAACCAAACUGAAUUUCUCCUGCAUCUUUACUUUGAACUCCGGGCUUCUUUCCACCUUCGCAUCCACGGUCUGUACCCAAGAAUGAAUGAGCUUAUAUGGACAUAGCAUACCUCUGUGAACUUUCCAAGAGAAGGUGGGUAUUAUUCUCAGCAUUUUAAAGCAGGAAGCAAUUAAGGCUGUCCUUAUAAACAUAGGGACAGGAAUGAACCUAGAUGUCCUGGCUCACUCUGCAAUUUACUAAAUCUAAUAGCUUUUCCCAGCAUAAGAAAAACCACCAGAUGGGGACUGUACCAUCAUCAAAUAAAUGAGGGAUCUUCACUUAAUGAUUUGCCAUUGCUUAUAAGCAUAGCAUUUUUAAACUGAGGGAGACUGGAAAAUUCAGGAUGUGAUUACCCUGGCUGAACUCUUAUGAGCUUUUAUGAGCUUCAGAUUGAGACAUUCUUAACAUCAGUCCAGGCCAUCCUUAGAUAGUCAAGUAAAACAGGCUCUUAGUGGUUAGUGGAGAGGAUACUGAGGUACUGGCCUUGGUUACUUUGGGCAUGAAAUAUAUGCCGUCAAAAAUCCAAGGUAGUCAAAUGUAAACUUUGCAUGUUGUUGGUAUUUUAUUUUUUAAUUUUUUAAAAUAAAUUGCUUUAUAUGUUCUCAGACUAUUGAGAAGGAAUCUGUAUUUUUCCAGUAUUCCAGCUGUUUGAGAUUGUGGCUGCAAUCCUGUUCACAGGCUGUAAUACUCUGGAUACUUAUCUGAGAGUAAUCCCCAUCAAACUCUUAGUCUUGCAUCCAAAGACACAUGCAUAGGAUUGUCCUGCAUAUUUUUUUAUAUUGAUAUUGCAUGGUUGCUGCCUUUAUUUAUCUUUUCUUCUUCUCCCACAUUGUAAUUUCCUAAUCCUGAAGGUUCAUACAAGACCUUGUAUUUUCCCUUGCGUACAACAUUGUUACCAUUUCACAUCUGGCAAGGUACUGAGGAGGGAAUCUUUUAAAGCUGUUUGUCUUAAGGUGCUUAAAAAAAAAUGCAGUUGUACUGUAGUGCUUAUAGACUCUUACUGCUCUUCUGAAACCUUUGGACAAAAACCCAAAUUGCUCCAGACCAGCCCUGUUUAACAUCACAAGACAGGUUGUUGUUGUUGUUGUUGUUGUUGUUGUUUUACUAAAGCUGAAAUAUUCAGGUGAGAAGAUUAUUGAACUUGAUUUAUGUAUAGAACAUCCCUGGAAAUUGACAGUCUGUCUGAUUUGUUUUUCAUCCUCCUAGUUUUACCAUUGUGACAAUUGAAGGCGGAGGGCAGAGAAUAGAAAAAGGAGGUCAGUGGGCAAAGAGUUGGGGUGGGCGAGACACCUGGAGUAUUAAAGUGAUUUAACCAGUUUAUAUUAAUGGUAUAGGAGGGAGUUUUUGGGGGGUCCUCAAAGCAUAGCAGGCAAUGGCUGUGCCAUAUUGCUGUAUGGUUUCAGCUAUCAACAUGUCUAAAUUUAGUUUUGCUGUUAACAUUUUAUGAUUUAGAAGGCUAUAACUGCAGCAUAGUAGCAAAACAGCCAUCAUUCCCUUGGCUCUAUUUAUCAGGCUUCCUCUCUGCAAGGCUUCCCGUUAUAAAACAAAUUGGGGGGGGGGGAGAAAGUGAACAGGAUUGAAGGGAGAGACAGGUACUAUUUCAGUCUUUCAUUUUUUGUUCCAUCUGGCAAGUUAUAAGAAUAAAGAUACGGAUAAGCCACUUUUGAAUAGUCUGUUUUUCAGGUGAAAGUGGAAUCCAAAUAUAUAGCUUAUUGGCUUCACCAGUGACAGCUAAAGAUAGCCCAAGAAGCAUGUGUGUGAGAUGUAGUUUGACAUCUGCUACUCAAAAACUAGCUGGAUGUUUAUUAUGCUGCAGGGAAGAUAUUCCACGUGCUGCAGCCAUUUGCUAAGUAGAAAGCAGAUAUAACAUGCAAAGGUCUAGCACAGGCAUGGCCAAACGUGGCCCUCCAGCUGUUUUGGGACUACAACUUCCAUUUUCACUAGCUAACAGGACCAGUGGUCAGGGAUGGUGGGAAUUAUAGUCCCCAAACAUCCCAAGUUUGGCCAUGCCUGGUCUAGCAUUAACCAUGAAGCUAGGUGAAGUAGUGCUUCAGGCAACCAGUGCUAUGGGGGUUGCAAUUUUCUUAGCUUCAACCUGACUCUUCAUGUGUAAUUAAAGAAAAGAGGAAGACUCUCAUUCUUUGCUACAGGUAUGGAAUUGCUUAAGGUAGCAAUCUUAACUCUGAUAGCAGGGGUCAGCAAACUUUUUCAGCAGGGGGCCGGUCCACUGUCCCUCAGACCUUGUGGGGGGGCGGACUAUUUUUUUUUGGGGGGGAAUGAACGAAUUCCUAUGCCCCACAAAUAACCCAGAGAUGCAUUUUAAAUAAAAGGACACAUUCUUCUCAUGUAAAAACACGCGGAUUCCCGGACCACCUGUGGGCCGGAUUCAGAAGGCGAUUGGGCUGGAUCCGGCCCCCGGGCGUUAGUUUGCUACCCAUGUCUAAUAGCAUAAGAUAAGCCUGCUGGAUCAAACUGACAGCCCAUCUAGUCCAGCAUCCUAUUCUCACAAUGGCCAACCAGAUGCCUGUGGGAAGCUUGCAAGUUGGACAACAGCACUCUGCCCAACCAAAAUUCCCCACAACAUGUAUUCAGAGGCAUGGUGUCUUUGAUAUUGGACGCAGAGCAUGGCCAUUGUGGCUAGUAACCCUAUUUACCUGGGAGAAUUGAAUUCAAUAAGACUGACUUCUGAGUGGGCAUGGCUAGGAUUGCACUGGAAGGCAUUAGCACUGAACUUGGAGAUAGCCAUAUACGGGAGAGGGAAAUCAUGCCUCAAAGUAGAACUUCUAACAAAUCUUUCCAUGACUUACUUAUAAAUUGUGAAAACUUCCAAUAUAUGAUAGCCAGACUUUGCUCCCUUGACAGCUAGAAACAGUCUCUCCUAGCACCGAAACUAAAUUACCCAUUUGUUUCUUUUCAAAUUAUAGCGGAAAUAACUAUGCCAGCUCAAGGUCAGGCAGAGUUUUCCCCAUUGAACUGGAUGUGCAUUUCUGAGAACUUAGGGAACUUUGGAAUGGGUGGAUCUAAAGGUCCCUCUCAGUCCAUCUCUGACAUGCCCCCAGAACACCCUUACACUUUUGCCCUUACCACCCAUGGGGCACUGUUGAUGAAGCACCUAUAGUGGCAGAGGUUUCCCCUGCCAGUCAAGGGAAGACCGCUGCAGUAGCUUAGAAACCUAUUAUAGUACAGUGGUACCUUGGGUUAAAUACUUAAUUUCUUCCAGAGGUCCAUUCUUAACCUGAAGCACCACUUUAGCUAAUGGGGCCUCCCGCUGCUGCCGCCACGCAGUUUCUGUUCUCAUCCUGAAACAAAGUUCUUAACCCGAGGUACUAUUUCUGGGUUAGCGGAGUCUGUAACCUGAAGCGUAUGUAACCUGAAGUGUAUGUAACCUGAGGUACCACUGUAAUAAUAAAUAACAACAACAAUAGGUGGGACCCCACAAAGUAGAUCCACUAGUGCAAGAAUGCCUGCUUGCAUCAUGGAAUUUUCCCUCCCUCUUCUCUACCCAGGCACGCUCCCCAAAUCUGCUCCAGGGGGUCAAGGAACCCAUAGUAAGGUGCAGGGGGCAUGAGAGGAGAGGGAAAGGAGGUUCUGUUGCACAGCUGUGCUCUAAUAGAUCUACUUUGCUGGUAUGAUGGUUAUUAUGAGGAUGGUGAUGUUGAUCAUCGUAAUAGUAAUAGACCUGUAUCCUGGUAACUUUCCAAAGACCAUAGACUUGCACCCUUAAAUAAAUGAACAACAUUCAGUAAACACCCACUGAGGGACAGAAUAACUGAGAUUUCUACAUUAUUCUCAGACCAAAAUGGCCUCCACUUAGGCACACCUCCAGAUUUUUUUGUUUAUUUGUUCUUAAAAGUGGAGGGUGGGGGAGGGCACCAAUAACUCAAAAUAAUUCAUAUGAGUUCAUAUUAAGGAAAUAUGUUGUUUGUAUUCUCUAUGGAAAUUAGGCUGUGUGUUUUCACUUUAUGCAUCAAAUUUAGCUUUCCCCCAGAUAACCCUGAGGGAAGCGGGUGCAGCUGAUUUCUUAAUUUGCAAGCCAAAAACCUGACAGCCCCAGAUGUGAGCCAGUCCAGCUUUAGGUGUGAAAGCUGUUUUUGAAAGCCAAAACACAGGCAAUUAAGGAGAUUCUCCUCAUUUUGAGCUCCUCUUUAACCAGGCUGUCAGUCCUGGAUGUGGUGUUCCAGACAGAGCAAGGAUGAACAUGAUAGACAGAACACCUGGAGCCUUUCCCAAGAGAAACAAAGCAGAAGGACAAAUAAAAUAAAAGCAAUGACCACCUACUGUAAAGAAUUGCUGAGCAACAAUGGCAAGGAACGAACUAAUGAGGAAACGCAUAAUGAGGCAAAGGAGAACAGAUAGCAGGAUAGCUGGGCAAAUGCUGUGCACUACCUCAAAAAUACAACAACCUGUACACACACUAUCCUUAAAGCUAUCCUUAAGUCAGAGAAGUGUUUACCUUAUUAAUACAGUGCAGCCUUAUUUGUGCAUUUAAAAAUUCCAUUUUGACUCUUAGAGAAAAUACACCCACUCAUGCAAAUUUAUGAAAAUGCCUGAAACCACCCCAAAGGUGUUGUUCAAGAUUUUGAUUGUUUUGGUUGAGGUGGGGGGGACCCAUCAGUCAAGCUUAUUUUGCCAUAGUUGUGCCAUGAUAGCAACCUAAUGGUUAAUGCGGGGGGCACCAACCUGCGACCUGUGGGCACAAAUGCACCCACAGAGGGCUGCCCUGUUUUCCACAGGGCUCCUAUCCUCACCACUCAACACUGAUAUUAAACUUUCAAGAAACAUUAUAUUGCAGCCAAUAAAAUAGAUUGUGGUGUGCGUUGUGCAUGGUGCCCACAGCCAUUUCUCAGCUUUGCAAAGGUGGCCCCAGGCCAAGAAUUCAAUAACUCAGUUAACUUUGAAGUAGGCAGAAACUGCCUCAAACUUCCCUCUUCCACCUUGCAGGCUUCCAAAUGUCUGUUUGUGAGGUGGAAACAUGGAUGAAAGGGCUUUCCUUUUCUAAAUAUCUCCACUUAUGUAGAGUGAGGGAAGAAAGCAAAUAUGAAAACAGGAAAAGAAAUAUUAGCUGUCCAUGUAGUGAUCUCUAGGUAGAAAUAACCAAUAAGAGAAGAGUAGAUUCUCCUCCCCUCAAAAAAACACUCACAUGUUGGGCAAAUAAUCACCUUUUAAUUGUUUCCCCUGGGUGUUGCCUUUGUGCUGGCUUGCACAUUUAAGGUGGGUGGCUCAAAUGGGGAGGUUCAGAGAGCAUUGAACAAUGUGGAACCCUGUGUGAUCAAACUAAGCAUAAAUUAACUUGAGCGUUAUAGAAUCAUAGAGUUGGAAGAGACCACAAGGGCCAUCGAGUCCAACCCCCUGCCAAGCAGGAAACACCAUCAGAGCACUCCUGACAUAUGGUUGUCAAGCCUCUGCUUAAAGACCUCCAAAGAAGGAGACUCCACCACACUCCUUGGCAGCAAAUUCCACUGUCAAACAGCUCUGAAGUUCUUCCUAAUGUUUAGGUGGAAUCUUCUUUCUUGUAGUUUGGAUCCAUUGCUCCGUGUCCGCUUCUCUGGAGCAGCAGAAAACAACCUUUCUCCCUCCUCUAUGUGACAUCCUUUUAUAUAUUUGAACAUGGCUAUCAUAUCACUCCUUAACCUCCUCUUCUCCAGGCUAAACAUGCCCAGCUCCCUUAGCCGUUCCUCAUAAGGCAUCGUUUCCAGCAGAUGUUAUGUUUCAGCAGAUGCAAACACCACCAUUUCCUUUUUUUAAAAAAAUAAAUAUUUAUGGAAUAAAAUGUUGCAUUGCAGAAAGGACUUAACUGUAUUACGCUAAUUGAAGGAGAGUGCCUGUAAAUGUUUAAUAUGCCCGCAGGAAUGUAUGCAAUCCAAGAAAACAAAGAGCAAAACAUCAACAGGAAGCUAAAUUGUCCUUCUCAGAUACCUGAGUUAGGAAACCAAGACAGGAUUAAGUUUAUAGUUAACUGUGAAACCAGGAUAACAAGGCUGCAAUCCUAAUCAUACUUACUUGGGAAUAAGCCCAACUGAAUUCAAUGAGACUUACUUCUGAGUGGUUGGCAUCUGUCUGUUCCGUGAAACAAUGUUUCAUGCAUCUUUGGGCAGUGGAGAGUUACGGUGCCUGCUGUGGCUGUAGAGACCUGUACAUAGGAUAUACAUCUGGAUUUUCCCAGGCAUAUUUGGAAUACAGCAGUUGGGAGCAGUACAGUGGUGCUCCGCAAGACGAACGCCUCGCAAGAUGAAAAACUCGCUAGACGAAAGGGUUUUUCGUUUUUUGAGGUGCUUCGCAAGACGAAUUUCCCUAUGGGCUUGCUUCGCAAGACGAAAACGUCUUGCAAGUUUGUUUCCUUUUUCGUAAAACCGUUAAUACCCAGGGUGCAUUGCUUGAAGAGGUGCAGUUGUGACUUGACUUCGAGGAGCAACUCAUAGCACGCGGUGUGGUAGCCUUUUUUGAGGUUUUUGAAGACUUUGGUGAUUUUUGAAGCUUUUCCAAAACUUCUUUUGCAGCCAUUUGGUAAGUUAAACUUUUAAAACUUUUUUGGGGGUUUUUGGAUUUUGGGUUGGGGUGUUUGGAAUUCAAGGACUUGGCGUUGGGGAGGGGUUUGCAAGAAUCUGGAAGCUUGUGUUUUUUUUCUGCAUUUUUAUGAUUUUUUGUGACCAUUGGGCCACUCUGCUGUUUUUUUAAAAAAAAUUCUGGAUUUGAAUUUCUGUGUGGUGGGUGACUGGGGGAACAGUUGGGGAGGGGUUUGCAACAGUUGGGGAGGGGUUUGCAAUUUCUGUGUGGUGGGUGGCUGGGGGAAUAGUUGAGGUUUUUGAAGACUUUGGUGAUUUUUGAAGCUUUUCCAAAACUUCUUUUGCAGCCAUUCGGUAAGUUAAACUUUUAAAACUUUUUGGGGGGUUUUUGGAUUUUGGGUUGGGGUGUUUGGAAUUCAAGGACUUGGUUCUGGGUUUGAAUUUCUGUGUGGUGGGUGGCUGGGUGCUUUUGAAUUUUUUGGAUGUGAAGCACUGAUUUUUUGGGGGGGGGUGCGCAGGUAGGAGCUGUGCUGCCAUGGGACCCAAGAAGACUGCUGCUGCAGAGGCCGGCGAGGGGAAGAAGGAGAAGGUUACGCUGGAAAUGAAGAAGCAGAUCAUCCGGAAACACGACGGUGGAAAGCGUGUGACAGACCUCGCCAGGGAGUUCGGGAUGAAUCCAUCGACCAUCGGGACCAUCCUGAAGAUGAGGGAGAAGAUCCUUGUGACUGAUGCAGCCAAGGGAGUCACCAGGAUCGUGAAGAACCGCCCAGCUGUUCUGGAGGAGGUGGAGAAGUUGCUGCUCAUCUGGUUAGAAGAGAAGCAGCGUGCAGGGGACACAGUGACUGAGGCUGUCAUUUGUGAGAAGGCCAAGGCCUUGCACGCAGACCUCGUCCGGGAACAGCCAGGAACCUCAGGCGAGCCAGAAGUCUUCAAGGCAAGCAGAGGCUGGUUUGACCGGUUCAAGACAAGAUCUGGAAUCCACAGCGUGGUCAGGCAUGGAGAGGCUGCCAGUUCUGAUGUUUCUGUGGCUGAAGACUUUGCAGCGGAGUUCCUGGAGGUUGUGAAGACGGAGGGCUACGUUCCACAGCAGGUCUUCAACUGCGACGAGACCGGGCUGUUUUGGAAGAGGAUGCCCAAAAGGACUUUCAUCACACAGGAGGAGGCCAAGUUGCCUGGCCACAAGCCCAUGAAGGACCGCCUGACCCUGCUCUUCUGUGCCAACGCAAGCGGCGACCUGAAGAUCAAGCCCCUGCUGGUGUACACUCAGAGAACCCAUGGGCCUUCAAGAAACACAAGGUCGACAAGGAGCAGCUGAGUGUCAUGUGGCAAUCCAACAGUAAGGCUUGGGUCACACGUGUGCUGUUUGUGGACUGGGUCAAUCUUGCUUUUGGCCCUGCUGUCAAACAGUACCUGCUGGACAACGACCUGCCGCUGAAGGCUUUGCUUCUGAUGGACAAUGCUCCUGCUCAUCCUAAAGGCCUUGAGGAGGACUUGUUGGAGGAGUUCAGCUUCAUCAGCAUCAUGUUCCUGCCACCUAACACCACGCCACUGCUCCAGCCGAUGGAUCAGCAGGUCAUCGCCAAUUUCAAAAAACUCUACACCAAGGAGCUUUUCAGGCGAUGCUUCGAGGUGACUGAUUGCACCACCAUCACCCUGCGGGAAUUCUGGAAGGACCACUUCAACAUCGUCACCUGCUUGAAGAUGAUCAACACGGCCUGGAACGGGAUCAGCCAGAGAAAUUUGAAUUGCGCUUGGCGCAGCCUGUGGCUGGACUGUGUGGCACCAAGUGACUCUGAUGCACCAGAGUCAACAGUGGUGCAGGACAUUGUUGCCUUGGGGAGGACCAUGGGCCUGGAGGUCACAGAGGAGGACAUCAGCGAGCUGGUGGAGGAGCACGACCACGAGCUGACCACCCAGGAGCUGGUCGAACUGCAGGCAGAGGCUGCGCAGGAGCAGGCCUCGCUGGAAGAGGAGGAAGCAACUGAGGAACGGCUGUCCUCCAAAGAACUGAGGGACAUUUGCCUGAAGUGGAAGGAUGUGCAGGCUUUUGCACAGUGGCACCACCCUGACAAGCACGUGGCACAUGACCUUGCGAACACUUUUGAUACGAGGGUCAUGUCGCCUUUCAGGGAGGUGUUGAAAAGGCGGAUGAAGCAGCAGACCAUGGACAGGUUCUUCAGCAAGAAGCAAAGGGUGGAAGAGGAACCUUCUUCGAGUUGUCCCCCAGAGUCUUAGAAAAUGUACUGUACACUUUGUUGAUUUUUAAAUGUUUUUCUGUCAUGUUUAGAAACUUAAUUUAUUGUUCCUUCAAUUUUUGAAAUGCUCUUUACAGUAUGCGUGACUUUAAAGAGCACUUAAACUCUUGUUGUACCAAAUUUGGCUUUGUUUGGACUUUUUUUGACCAUAGGAACGCAUUAAUUGAAUUUCAAUGCAUUCCUAUGGGAUUUCGUGCUUCGCAAGACGAAAAAUUUGCUAGACGAAAAAACUCGCGGAACGAAUUAAUUUCAUCUUGCGAGGCACCACUGUAUCUGGGCAGAAAUUGGGAAAAUGUCUGGGAAAAUCCGGACAUGGCGGCAGUGCCGUUUUUGCAGUUUUUCCAUAAAAGUAGCUCAAAAGUGGCAAAGAGCUCAACAAGGUAAAGGUAAAGGGACCCCUGACGAUUAAGUCCAGUCGUGACCGACUCUGGGGUUGCGGCGCUCAUCUCGCUUUACUGGCCGAGGGAGCCAGCGAACAGCUUCCGGGUCAUGUGGCCAGCAUGACUAAGCCGCUUCUGGCAAACCAGAGCAGUGCACGGAAACGCCGUUUACCUUCCUGCUGGAGUGGUACCUAUUUAUCUACUUGCACUUUGAUGUGCUUUCGAACUGCUAGGUUGGCAGGAGCAGGGACCGAGCAACAGGAGCUCACCCCAUUGCGGGGAUUCGAACCGCCGACCUUUGAUCGGCAAGUCCUAGGCUCUGUCGUUUAACCCACAGCGCCACCCGUGUCCCUAAAGAGCUCAACAACUUUGGGCAAAACUAAAAGAAGCUCAACAACUGCCUAGAUUUUCACAGUUUGAAAUAUGGCAACCCUACCUAUAUGAAGGCAUCUGCUUACACUGAUGCUGAUGCUUUCAUAUUCGGAAGUGUUAGAAAAGUGAGAGUGAGAGGAAGUCAGGGCAAGGAAAAGGUGUACAGAAACAUAUCAAAGGAUUGAUUUCACAUAUAUCCCAGAGCAGAUGACAAAUCUUGGAGAUGUGGGACAACAGGAGUGGAAAUAUCACGUUUGGUGUAUGCGUACUAAGUUGUUCUGGGAGUUAGUGUUGGUGAACACCAAGGAAAUGACAGGUUGUAACAAAGCAGGCCCCAUUAAUCAUUUUGUUUGGUAACACAGAAAAUGAAGUAAACAGGGUGAAUAGAGAAAUGCUUACUUAUGUAUUUACGGCUGUCAGGAUGGCAGUCUGCCAAAAGUGGGAACAGAAAGAAUCUCUGACACAAGAAGAUGGUUGAAUGGGAUAUGGGAUACAUGCUGAAGCUGACGGACAGGAUCAAAAACAGAGAAGGUUGGCAAGGGAGUAAAAGCUUUAUUGAUAGAUUGUCAUUGUUUAUUAUGGAUUGGAAUAACAAAGUGCAACCAUACAACUUGCUGGGAGAUGGGUAAUAGAUGACGGCAAAUGUUCACUACUUCUCUUCAGUUUCCCUCCUCCCUUGUAUAAAGCAUAUGGCAUUUACUCUGUACAGUAUGUUUUUUAACCUCUGUAUCUCACUUAUGUUAUGGAUUAACACAAACAAUUAUAAGCUUGUAUUACAAUUUACUGCCAUUUAUUUUUAGUUUUAAAAAUGAGGGGAUUUAUUUAUUUUUUAAGAGCAUUUUAGAAGGGAGGCAUUUUUCAGGACUGCCAAAAAUGUUCACAGGAAACUGAAGCUCUAGUUUCCAUGACUUGCUAGAAGACUUUAAAAACCCUUAUGUUUUAGUGACCUUUAAAAGUCCCAUCUGAAAACGUUCUUGCUGACUCUUCUGCAAUUCUUUUUAUUCACUGUAUGCUACCUUUUACAGCCUCUGUGAUGAACAAAAGCUAAAGGGAUUAAAAUCGAGUUGAUGGGUUGCCAAACCACUGGAUGUUCUUUUUCUAAACUACGUUUAUUUUUGUUUCCCUAGUUGUCCUUUGUCGCCCAUCUGCUGGAAUCCUCUUCUAGAUAAGACCCAUUACAACCGAGUAUUAGGCCAUGGACUGUGCCUAGUCACUGACUAUCAUCUUUGUGCAGAACAAUGGGCAGAAAGGUUACUCUCUACCUACACAUCGAGACCUUGAGGAGUAACAGGAAGCACUGUGGAAAAAGGCAUGCUGGAGCCUGGUAUUUUUUGUGGUAUUUUUUACAUAAACUGUGCUAUUCAUGUAGAAAUGUUAAGCCAAGUAAAUAAAGCAAAUCCAACUGUAAUAUUAUUACCAAUGUUGUAAACCUUGGUUUACAAACUUAAUCCGUUCCGGAAGUCCGUUCUUAAACCAAAGCAUUCUUAAACCAAGGCAUGCUUUCCCAUAGCAGUGGGGGACUCAAUUUACAAAUCGAACACACUCGACAGGAAGCAGAACAUGUUCUGCUUCCAAGGCAAAGUUCACAAACCAAAACACCUACUUCUGGGUUUGCAGCAUUCUUAAUCCAAGUUGUUCAUAAACUAAGCUGUUCUGAAAACAAGGUACCACUGUAGCUUGCAAGUAUGGGUGAGUUGUGGAAACUGGAAGAAAUAUAUUUGGGUAUCCUUUUGUCAUUAAGUAUAAACCACACUCAUAAAAUGUGUUCAAUGAAUUCCAGUCAUUCUCUUUAUAACUGGGACCUCCACAACUUUAUUAGUCAGAUCCUCCAUCAUGGAGGGCACGUGUUGCGGUGAGAUCACCAGAAACUGCCUCCCUGUUGUGGGGCAGAACCGUUUGGAUGGCCAAAACACCCCAUUGGUUGCCCCUCUGUUGCUGAGGCAGAAAUUUGGUCAGUUGGGUUGGCUAUUGGCUGCUGAGGGGCUACUUAAGCUGCUGCAUGUCGCUGGAGAGUUUCACUUUCUUGCAACGUGCAGCGGAUCACCCGCCCUCCUCUUUCUAUAUUUAGGGUUGUUCUUAUGGCCUUGCUAUGCCUGUCUAGGAGUCGUCUGUUUUGGAGCAGGGGCCCAGUAGGAAUUUUGCCAUUUGGCUGAUUGGCUGGUGCCACUUGGUUUUUGCCCACCAUGUAGCAAAUUGUCACAACUUUAUAAGGCUGGCGGUUAGGCAUUUGGUUCAAUGUUUUGGGGAGAGGAUGUUGUUGGCUGUGCCUGCCCCUCUAUUGCUGCUGCUAGGGAAUUCCAUUAAAGGAAUCCAGGGGCUCGCCAUGCUUUUGUCCAAACCCUGUCAAGGGGCUAGGGCCAUGCCAGAGCCCCUGGGAGCAUCUGGGGUGAGCUGUGAGAUCAAAGCCAUUUCUUGCUCCCCCAGGUUGCUUUCCCUUACUGACAUAUGGUGGUGCCCAGUGUCAGUCCUGUUCCUGUCACUGUGCAGGCUCAGGUAGUCUGGAACCAAUGCCUAAGCAACCACUCACAUGCUGUAAUCAAUAAAGGACUUCCGGGGUGGCGCCAUCGGCAAUGGCGGACUCCCUCUGAAUUGGUCUUUUCCGCUACGGCGAAGUGGGGACCCUUUUAAAAAUCACAGGCAGAUGAAGCCUGUGACCAUGGGACUCGGCGGGCACCCUUAGCGCCCCCCCAAUCCGCAAAGGAACCCACUAAUGGGCUCCGAAGCGAAGAGGGGGAAGCGGCGCGGUGCUGUGAGUCAACUGCUAUUUCCGUGGAGCGAAGCUGCACAGCCGUUGCCGGAGAGCGCUGCCUUUUUCUUGGGACAAUUUGGCUUUUAAAAUAAGCAUCCGUGAGUAUUUAAACUUUGAACAAUUGGACUUUAAAUAAGGACUUGCGAGCAGAAAGGAAUUGGACUUAGAAAUUUUACUUCAAUUUGGUACUGAAACGGGAAGGUCUAAACAGGAACUCAGCCUUCCGUUUCUUUGUAGACAGAAUAAAGCAAAGACAAUGUAAACUAGAGCUCAGAAAAUCGCCUCUAAAGGAUUGGCUUUCAUCAUUUAAAAUUGUUUAACCCCCCUUCGGCAGCAGGAGAAGGGGGAUCUUUUUUGGACUGUUUAAACCUGCAGAAGUGAGUUUAAAGUAAAGUAACUUUCCACCGUCCUGAUCCUGGAGCGGGAUGUCAGGACUGACGUAUGAAGCUCAUUGACCAGAGAUAAACGCUUUUGACAGAUAGCUAAAAGAAGAGGAACAUAGUGAUUCCAUUGUUUCCUUUCGCACCUUAAAGGAACAAAUAUUGACAAAAUAUCUGAAAAAAGGAAACUCUGUUGCUAGACUUGUCUUUAAAAGAAAGAUCAAAUAGAAGUUUUCCCCCUAGAGGGAGACUGUGAAACUGUAACCAACUCCUGGGAGCUGGCAGCUGUUACAGAUUACAAUCGUGGGAAUAGACAUCUGACCUUGCAGGACAAUGUAUUCAGAAGCUCUGUUGUGUGCUUUCUAUAAAACAAAUGCCCUACUGGAACAGCUACAUGAGAAGACGAAUUUGAUGGCUGAUUCGAUUAGAAAUUUUGAACAGGCAGUGGGAAAUUUUGAACAGGCAGUGGGAAAAUAUGUGGAGCCCACCCAGGAAUUAAAUCAGGAGUGUGCCCUGACAGAACAGGCCCAACAGGAAUAUGAGCUUCUGGAUUUGACAAAUGAACUUGGAAAAAGCCAGAUUUGGAAAGAAAAAGUGUGGUUUGGUUUGGAAAUGGGGGGUUGGAUAGACCCUCCUAUGCAGGGAUUUUUGGACUUUUCAAGUCUGGCAAUGGGCCGUGAGAUGUUUGGGAUUGUGGGGGCUCUCAAUUUUGGAUGGUUUUUGAAACAUGUUUUUAAAUACCACAUGGAAUUUAGUGUCGAUUAUGGAAAAGGGGCUGAUCUGUCGAGAAGGGUCAAAAAUAUUGCUAAGCUGGAGUUCCCACGAGUGAAACGAGCAGGAGACAAGGGAAAAUACAGUUACAAAUAUGAAGAAGAGCUGCGGAAGGGACAUGGAAGAGACUUAAGGGCUUCGGAUAUAAGGUCACCAGGUUAAUGCGCCAGAUCGAUGGGAUAAUAAGGACUGACAAACCCGGGACCAGGAGGAAGGGAUGCUGGAUGAAGAUUGAAGAUUGGAUUUGUUUUUAUUUCUUUUUUUCAUCACUAGGACUGUUUUAUAAAAUUGAUGAAUGUUAGAAAAAUGUUGGAAUGAAAUUAUUUGGCUUUAGUAAAAAUGUUUAAAGAAUUAUGUAAGAAUAUUAUGGUUAUGAGAAGUUGGUAAAAAUAAGAUUUAAGUUUUAAGUUCCAAGGUUUUUAUAGUAAGAUAAGAUUAAAAUAGUUUAAGGUAAUGUAAUGACAGAAUAUUAUGAAAUAUGGAAAGGAUUUGCUGUGACAAUUAACAACCAGGACACAAGGAAGGGGAGGAGGAGGAGGUCAAGGAAAGAGGGUAAUGACAGUUGAGGAGUUGAAAAUAAUGGAUUUGUUUUUAAUUGUUUUUAAAUUUUUGUGGUGUAUUUUUGUUUUCCCCCCUCUCUUAUUUUGUGUAUUUGUAUGGUUGGAAGUGGCUUGUUUUUCUCUUUUUCUACUUUGUUUUCUUUUGUAACUUAAAAAAAAAUAAAUUCCUUCAAUAAAUAUCAUUU